rnacentral:lncRNA from 1 species
CUACUUUUAUCUACUUUUACAUACUUUUAUCUAUUCAUAUAGGUAAUUAUAUGUAUGUCCGUGACAUUACCCCCCCUUCUAGGGACGAGUUCCACGAGGAGCGGUGAUUAUAUAUUGAGAAAAUCUAAUAUGCGGCGAAUUGUAUUUGCUACAUACUCUGAUCUUUGUUCUCUUCGAAGAUAGUUGAUGGGUCCUCUUAGCCAUCGAUAGUGUCCCAUUCCAGGGCGAGAAGACCACCCUGUUAUUUGAUCACUGUUGAGGCCUUCAUAACUUCCUUCAAAUAAUACAUUUGAAACACCAUCAGGAGUCGUUUCUAUCUCCAAUAAUAUCACCAAACAUCGAGAAUCUCUUCCAAGGUCGUGAUACCAAACGCGUUGUAUCUCACCAUCUAUUCGAGGAAGAACAUGUCGUUCUUGAGGAUCUUCAUCUCGGUUGCGUCGUCUUGAAGGUUGUGACAAUCGUAAUGUCUCAUCCGGUAAGUCAACAAACGAAGGUUCUUGAGUUGAAUCCGCUGGUUGUUGGCUCUCCAUCUAAUUAGCGUCACAAAUGCAAAGAAGUUACAAACAAGGAUAGGAAUUUGAAUGUUAUCUUGCCUCAAUCUUGUCUCUUUUAUAAGAGAGGUUUUCAUCUUGGUUUUGAUGGAUGUCGUUGAUGAAAAACUUUGACUUUAGCUGAUGCAUUUGCUAGAUUCCUGGAUGGCUCCCAUGUGCGCUCACUAAUAUCAUAUCCGCGCCAAUGAACAAGAUAUUCUAGCUUAUUUCGGCACCGCCUUGAGUCUAAUAUCUCUUCCACCUCAAAUUCUUCAUUAUUAUCUACUUCUAUAGGAGGCGGUGGCAUUUGUCUUCUUCCUUGUAUAUCCACUGUCUUAUAUGGUUCAAGAAGAGACACGUGGAAUACAGGAUGGAUCUUCAUUGACUCCGGUAGAUGUAACCGAUAUGCAACUGGGUUGAUCUGUUCAGAAACAGAAAAGGGGCCAAGCCUACGAUAGUCCAAUUUGUCACAAGGUCGAGUGGUCUUGAUAUUGCGACGAAGUAGCCAUACCUUAUCACCCACGUUGAGUUGUGGUUGCUCUUUACGAUAUACAUCUGCAUUUAUCUUUUGUCGUUCUUGAGCUUUCUUCAACUGCGCCUUCAUUAUUGCAUGUAACUCUGACAACCGAUUUGCCAUAUCUUCUGCUGCAGGAUUAUCAACUUUUGAAAAAUCAAAAGUAUCAAGUCGUGGAUGAUAGCCAUAAUUGGCAAAGAAAGGUGUUUGUUGCGUGGAAGAAUGUAUCGUAUUAUUAUAAGCAAACUCUGCCAAUGGCAGAAGGGUUGUCCAAUCAUCUUGUUGAUAGUUGAUAGUACACCUUAAAUAUUGCUCCAAGACUUGAUUUACGCGCUCUGUUUGUCCAUCAGUUUGAGGAUGGAAAGCCGAAGAUAGCUUUAUGUCCACUUUUAAAAUCUUGAAAAGGGUCUUCCAAAAUCUUGACACAAAUUGAGUUCCCCUAUCCGAUAUGAUAUCUUUAGGUAAUCCAUGAUAGCGAUAGAUAUUAUCAAUGAAAAGCUUAGCUGUUUCUUCACCUGUGAUAGAUUUUGUACAUGGCACAAAAUGUGCCAUCUUGGUGAAACGAUCUACUAUCACAAAUAUAGAAUCAUAAGAUCUUGAGUUUGGAAGAUCUGUGAUGAAAUCCAUAGAAACAGAAGACCAUGGUUGUUCUGGUAUAGGUAAUGGCUGAAGAAGUCCGUAAGGUCGAUGUCGAGGAAUUUUUGAUCUUGAACAAAUAUCACAUGAUUGUACAAAGUCUUUGACUGACUUCCACAUUUGUGGCCACCAAAAAUCUCUUGAUAUGAGUUCCAGAGUCUUAUUAUAUCCAAAGUGCCCUGCUGCUGGAAAGUCAUGACGUGCUUGAAGAACACGCAAACGUGCUUUUCCUUCUGGAACAUAUAGGCGUCCUUCAAAAUAUAAUAGAUUAUUCUUGAACUCGAACUUAGAAGAAUCAUGAGACUUGGAAGAAUUAUUCUCGAUAUCAUGAACAAGAGGGUCUGAGGACAUACUGGACUGGAUUUGCUUGAGAAAAGUUGAAUCAACAGUCAAUGUUGAUUUCACUGCUCGGAGAUGAAAUUGCUCCGGUUUCAAGAGGACCGUUCUUUGUUGCUCAAAAGCUGCAUCUCCUUCUUUUGGUGCAAAAUAAGAACGUCUAGACAGGGCAUCGGACAAACCUUGUUGUUUUCCUGGCCGAUAAGUGAUAAUGAAGUCGAAUCUUGACAAAGACAUACUCCAACGAGCUUGACGACGAUUCAACACGCGUGCUGACAUGAAAUACUCGAGGUUCUUGUGAUCUGUAUACACAGUGACUGGACUAGAAGCGCCUUCUAGAUAAUGACGCCAUUCUUGAAAGGAAUCCACGAUCGCAAGAAGUUCUUUAUCGUGGAUCUCAUAAUUGCUCUCGGCUGCUGAGAAUUUUCUUGAAUGAAAAGCUAUCGGAUGAAGUUUGUCAUCUGUUCCCAUUUGUGAUAAAACUGCACCCAAGGCAAAAUCCGAUGCGUCUGUUUCCAUAAAAAAUACCUUGGAAAAGUCAACACGAUAUAAGACUGGUGCAGAGACAAACGAUGUCUUCAAGGCUUCAAAUGCUGCUUCCGCUUCUUGAUUCCAUUGAAAUUUAUCUUUACUAGUCAAGCGUGUAAGUGGAGCUGCAACUCGUGAGAAGUCUUUGAUGAAGAUCCGAUAGUAAUUGGCAAAUCCCAAGAAACAUUGGACAUCUCUUACAGUCUUUGGAAUCUUCCAAUCCAUGAUUGUUUGGACUUUCUUAGAAUCCAUCAUGAGACCAUCAUUUGAAAUGAUGUAUCCUAAAAAGUCAACUUGAGUAGUGUGAAAUACACACUUUUCCAUCUUGGCGUACAAUCCUGCAUCUCUAAGUUUUUGUAAUACUUGACGAACAUGUAUUUCAUGUUCUUCAACGUUCUUGGAAUAGAUCAGGAUAUCGUCUAGAUAGCAGACGACAAAAUUGUCUAAGAAUUCACGAAAUACAUCAUUCAUGAGAUGUUGAAAAGCAGCUGGUGCAUUCGUGAGUCCAAAAGGCAUGACAUUGUAUUCAAAGUGUCCGUACCUGGUUCGAAACGCAGUCUUCCAUUCAUCUCCUUCUUUGAUCCGUACUAGAUUAUAUGCUCCUCUUAGAUCUAUUUUUGUAUAGAUCUUAGCUUGAUUUAACUGGUCAAGGAGUCCUGAUAUCAAAGGUAAUGGAUACCUGUUCUUGAUUGUGAUCUUGUUGAGUCCUCGAUAGUCAACACACAUUCGUAAAGAUCCAUCUUUUUUCUUUACGAAUAAAAUUGGAGCUCCUGCUGGAGAUUUUGAAUGACGUAUGAAAUUCUUCGCUAAAUUCUCGUCAAUAUAUGUCUUGAGUUCAGCCAACUCAUCUUGCGAUAAACUGUAAAUUGGUCCAAAUGGUGGCUGAGUUCCUUCCUUGAGAUCGAUUGAACAAUCGUAUGGGCGAUGCUCAGGAAGAAUAUCUGCAUUCUUUUUCUCAAAAACGUCUUGAUAAUCCUGAUAUUGACUUGGAAUGCCACUUGAAGUCUUUACGCUUUCAGAAAUAGGUGCAGCAUAAAUAGCAAAAGUUGAUCCUUCUUUUGCUGCGUGUAUAAAUGCUUUUGCACCUAUAAGUGCGGGUUUUUCUAUACUAGACUCAUGGUUUUUUACUUGAUUAAUAGAACUGUUACUAAUGCUCCGAGGAAAAUCAAGUUUACGAGAAAUCCAAUCUAUUCGAGGAUUAUACUUUUCUAACCAUGAUAAGCCUAAAAUUACUGGAUUAGAGGGAGAUCUAAUUAUAUUAAAAAUUACGCAACUACUAUGACCAUUUAUUACUACAUCUACAGGAAGUGUUUCGUGAGUUACAUCUCCAGAAGACAACGGACGACCAUCUAUAACUUCUACGUGUACAGGUUUAGUUUUUUGUAUUAAUGAUAUUCUAUGACAUCUAGCAAAUUCUUCAUCUAAAAAACAAGCUGAGGCUCCUGAAUCUAUCAAGGCAGAGGCUUUGUAAUUAUUAGGUCCUAAACGCACAUCUAUUAUAAAACAAGGAGAUGGUUCUGAGGAGAGGAUAGGACCUUCAUUAGAAGUUGUACAAGAUUCCAGCCGCACGGUCCCUAUUGUAGCUGGACGUACUCGUUUUCCGACAUACUGUCUUCUUUCACAGUCGUACUCCUCAUUUUGUAGUUACGUCGCUUCUUUGGACAAUGUUGAGCAGUGUGCUUAGGUUCUCCACAAUAUAAGCACAAUCCUCCUUGUCGACGACGAGACUUUUCUUGCUCAGUAAGAGGUUUGAAACGUACCGCAUCAAUUUGCAUAUCCUCUACUUCCGAAGGUAUGUGUUGAGGAGACGUCGGUGUUGCCAUUGAAUUGUAGUAACGUUGAGGCCCACUUGUACGACUCUCGGAUCGAAAUUCAAAAAGUCGAUUGUCGCACUUCACAGCAAAGUCAAUUGCUUGACUCAAUGUUUGAGGAUCAGGUAAAUUAAGCAUCAAUUUCUUUACCUCAUAUUGUAAUCCGUAGAGAAAUUGACUCACAAGUGCGGCAUCAUCCCACUUGAUAUCAGUUGCAAGUUGUCGAAAUUGCGAAGCAUAUAAUGUUACUGAUCGAUUGCCUUGUCGCAAAAUACGGAUCUUGUUGGUUGCAACACGAAUUGCAUCAUGUUCUCCAAACAUGGAUCGAAACUCCGCCAAAAAAGCCUCCAGAUUAUCCAAUAUUGGAUCUCGUCGUUCAAGAAAAGAUGAAAACCAUGACAAUGCUGAACCUGAAAGGAGUGUACCAAUGAAUCUAACUUGUGACCCUGGAGUUGGAUAGCUCUGGGGUUGAAGUUCAAUUACUAGUUGGACCUGAUUGAUGAAUCCUCGAAACUUGGAUCUGGUACCAUCAAACUUCUCGGGCAAGGCAACUCUCGGUUCUCUAACACUCGAAGGGUGUUCCAUUCUGGGAGAAGGGACAUGGUUUGGUGUAGAUGUUGAAGCAGCCCCAAUCAUCUCUAUAUCUUCACUUCCUACCAUUCUUGUUGCUCCUUGUGGUGGUAAAUUGAGUUGAUGCAUCGCAAGCAUUAACUCCCUCAAUUGCUCUUGCAUCUGUGCCAUUGCACUCUUCAUUUCAACAAGCUCUGCCAUAGUAGCACUUAGAAAAGAGAAGAUGUCUAAUAACGCUCAAAACAAAUAGAAGAGAGGAAUUGAUAACAAAGAAAAUACUAAGAACAAUAUCAGUUUAAAAGAGGGUAAUCCGCAACUUCUAAUGCGCUUAUGUCUUAUCAAGAAAAAGGGGUAAUCCACUCUUAAUCAAGAAAAGACAAAGCUCUGAUAUUGUAAGUGUACUCUUGUCAAUCUGUCAAGGACAAGAACUCGAUGAAAGCUAAAGAGUAAGUGAGACUUUUCUCAAAAAGAAAUAGGACAAAAUAGAAAUAUGUAUAUUAAGAAAGAAACUGGAAUGGCUAUUGCCAAAAUACAAGAAAACUAGAGACCCUUGAAACUUAGACUAGAAGCAAGAAAGGAGUUGACAAGAGUGAAGAGGGCUUCACUCUUGCCUCUAUAUAUACUAUCUAACUAGAAGCCACGUGGCGAUGUUCUAUAAGACCUCCAAUAUAUGUUGACUUUCUAGGCCACAUGCCUUUGCUUGCAAGGCAAGUUUUCUAUGGAUGGACCACGUAGUUAGCUUGUUCUUUAAGCUUCCAACAUGUGUGGCACAUGGCUAACUUGUUGACCAAGUUUCUAACCUAAAAGUCAACUAUAGACUCCUAUAAAGUCAAAGCAGCGUCUAUGAAGCUUCUAAGAAGCUUCUCUAGAAGAUAUUACACAAUUAACCUACUUUUAUCUACUUUUACAUACUUUUAUCUAUUCAUAUAGGUAAUUAUAUGUAUGUCCGUGACACUCAGCCACCAUUUGGACCAAUUUACAGUUUAUCGCAAGAUGAGAUGGCUGAACUUAAGAAAUAUAUUGACGAGAAUUUAGCGAAGAAUUUCAUACGCCAUUCAAAAUCUCCAGCAGGAGCUCCAAUUCUAUUCGUAAAGAAAAAAGAUGGAUCUUUACGAAUGUGUGUUGAUUAUCGAGGAUUCAACAAGAUCACAAUCAAGAAUAGGUAUCCAUUACCUUUGAUAUCAGGACUCCUUGACCAAUUGAAUGAAGCUAAGAUCUAUACAAAAAUAGAUCUAAGAGGAGCAUAUAAUCUAAUACGGAUCAAAGAAGGAGAUGAAUGGAAGACUGCGUUUCGAACAAGGUAUGGACAUUUCGAAUAUAAUGUCAUGCCCUUUGGACUCACGAAUGCAUCAACUGCUUUUCAACAUCUUAUGAAUGAUGUAUUUUGUGAAUUCUUAGAGAAUUUUGUCGUCUGCUAUCUAGACGAUAUCUUGAUCUAUUCUAAGAACGUCGAAGAACAUGAAAUACAUGUUCGUCAAGUAUUACAAAAACUUAAAGAUGCAGGAUUGUACGCCAAGAUGGAAAAGUGUGUAUUUCACACUACUCAAGUUAACUUUUUAGGAUAAAUCAUUUCAAAUGAUGGUCUCAUGAUGGAUUCUAAGAAAGUCCAAACAAUCAUGGAUUGGAAGAUUCCAAGGACAGUAAGAGAUGUCCAAUGUUUCUUCGAAUUUUCCAAUUACUAUCGGAUCUUCAUCAAAGAUUUCUCACGAGUUGCAGCUCCACUUACACGCUUGACUAGUAAAGAUAAAUUCCAAUGGAAUCAAGAAGCGGAAGCAGCAUUUGAAGCCUUAAAGAUAUCGUUUGUCUCUGCACCAGUCUUAUAUUGUGUUGACUUUUCGAAGGCAUUUUUUAUGGAAACAGAUGCAUCAGAUUUUGCCUUGGGUGCAGUUUUAUCACAAAUGGGAUCAGAUGACAAAUUUCAUCCGAUAGCUUUUCAUUCAAGAAAAUUCUCAGCAGCCGAGAUCAAUUAUGAGAUCCAUGAUAAAGAACUUCUUGCGAUCGUGGAUUCCUUUCAAGAAUGGCAUCAUUAUCUAGAAGGCGCUUCUAGUCCAGUCACUGUGUAUAGAGAUCACAAGAACCUCGAGUAUUUCAUGUCAGCACGCGUAUUGAAUCGUCGUCAAGCUCGUUGGAGUAUGUCUUUGUCAAGAUUCGAGUUCAUUAUCACUUAUCGGCCAAGAAAACAACAAGGUUUGUCCGAUGCUCUAUCUAGACAUUCUUAUUUUGCACCAAAAGAAGGAGAUGCAGCUUUUGAGCAACAAAAAAUAGUCCUCUUGAAAUCGGAGCAAUUUCAUCUCCGAGCAAUGAAAUCAACAUUGACUAUUGAUUCAACUUUUUUCAAGCAAAUCCAGUCCAGUAUGUCCUCAGACCCUCUUGUUCAUGAUAUCGAGAAUAAUUCUUCCAAGUCUCAUGAUCUUUCUAAGUUCGAGUUCAAGAAUAAUUUAUUAUAUUUUGAAGGACGCCUAUAUGUUCCAGAAAGAGAAGCACGUUUACGUGUUCUUCAAGCACGUCAUGACUUUCCAGCAGCAGGGCACUUUGGAUAUAAUAAGACUUUGGAACUCAUAUCAAGAGAUUUUUGGUGGCCACAAAUGUGGAAGUCAGUCAAAGACUUUGUAAAAUCAUGUGAUAUUUGUUCAAGAUCAAAAAUUCUUUGUCAUCGACCUUACGGACUUCUUCAGCCAUUACCUAUACCAGAACAACCAUGGUCUUCUGUUUCUAUGGAUUUCAUCACAGAUCUUCCAAGCUCAAGAUCUUAUGAUUCUAUAUUUAUGAUAGUAGAUCGUUUCACCAAGAUGGCACAUUUUGUGCCAUGUACAAAAUCUAUCACAGGUGAAGAAACAGCUAAGCUUUUCAUUGAUAAUAUCUAUCGCUAUCAUGGAUUACCUAAAGAUAUCAUAUCGGAUAGGGGAACUCAAUUUGUGUCAAGAUUUUGGAAGACCCUUUUCAAGAUUUUAAAAGUGGACAUAAAGCUAUCUUCGGCUUUCCAUCCUCAAACUGAUGGACAAACAGAGCGCGUAAAUCAAGUCUUGGAGCAAUAUUUAAGGUGUACUAUCAACUAUCAACAAGAUGAUUGGACAACCCUUCUGCCAUUGGCAGAGUUUGCUUAUAAUAAUACGAUACAUUCUUCCACGCAACAAACACCUUUCUUUGCCAAUUAUGGCUAUCAUCCACGACUUGAUACUUUUGAUUUUUCAAAAGUUGAUAAUCCUGCAGUAGAAGAUAUGGCAAAUCGGUUGUCAAAGUUACAUACAAUAAUGAAGACGCAAUUGAAGGAAGCUCAAGAACGACAAAAGAUAAACGCAGAUCUAUAUCGUAGGGAGCAACCACAACUCAACGUGGAUGCUAAGGUAUGGCUACUUCGUCGUAAUAUCAAGACUACUCGAUCUUGUGACAAGUUGGACUAUCGUAGGCUUGGCCCCUUUUCUGUUUCUGAACAGAUCAACCCAGUUGCAUAUCGGUUACAUCUACUGGAGGCAAUGAAGAUCCAUCCUGUAUUCCACGUGUCUCUUCUUGAAUCAUAUAAGACAGUGGAUAUACAAGGAAGAAGAUAAAUGCCACCGCCUCCUAUAGAAGUAGAUAAUAAUGAAGAAUUUGAGAUGGAAGAGAUAUUAGACUCAAGGCGGCACCGAAAUAAGCUGGAAUAUCUUGUUCAUUGGCGCGGAUAUGAUAUUAGUGAACGCACAUGGGAGCCAUCCAAGAAUCUAGCAAAUGCAUCAAUUAAAGUCAAAGUUUUUCAUCAACGACAUCCAUCAAAACCAAGAUGAAAAUCUCUCUUAUAAAAGAGAGAAGAUUGAGGCAAGAUAACAUUCAAUUUCCUAUCCUUGUUUGUAACUUCUUUGCAUUUGUGACGCUAAUUAGAUGGAGAGCCAACAACCAACGGAUUCAACUCAAGAACCUUCGUUUGCUGACCUGCCGGACAAGACAUUACGAUUGUCACAACCUUCAAGAUGACGCAAUCGAGAUGAAGAUCUUCAAGAACGACAUGUUCUUCCUCGAAUAGAUGGUGAGAUACAACGCGUUUGGUAUCACGAUUUGGGAAGGGACUCUCGAUGUUUGGUGAUUUUGCUAGAGGUAAGAACAACUCCUGAUGGUCUUCCAAAUAUUCUAUUCGAAGGAAGUUACGAAGGCCUCAACAAUGAUCAAAUAACUGGGUGGUCUUCCCGCCCUGGUAUGGGACACUACUGAUCGUUGAGAGGCCCUAUCAAUCAUCUUCGAAGAGAACAGAGAUCAGAGUAUGUGGCGAAUACAAUUCGUCACAUCAUAGAUUUCCUCAACAUAUGAUGACCGCUCCUCGUGGAACUCGUCUCUAGAAGGGGGGGUAAUAUCACGGCCAUAAUCAUGUAAGCUAAUAAUUACAUAUAAAAAUAGGUAGAAGUAAGUAAAAGUAGAUAAAAGUAAGUUAAUUCUAUAAUAUUUAAUAUAGAAGCUUCCUAAAAACUUCCUAGAUGCUGCUUUGACUUCAUAGGUGUCUUUAAUUGAUUUUUUGGAUUAGAAACGUGGUCAACAAGUUGGCCAUGUGCCACACAUGUUGUUAGCUUGAAGAUCAAGCUAACUAUGUGGCCCACACGUAGAAAAACUUGCCUUGUAAGUCAAGGCAUGUGUCCUACAAAGUCAACACAUAUUGGAGGUCCUAUAGAACGUCGCCACAUAGCCCCUAGUUAGAUAGUAUAUAUAGAGACAAGAGUGAAGGCUUCUUCACUCUUGUCAACUCCUUUCUUGCUUCUAGUCCAGGUUCAAGAGUCUUUAGUUUCUUGUCUUGUGGCAAUAGCCAUUCCAGUUUCUUUUUAAUAUACCUACUUGUUUAUAUUUUGACUUAUUAUAUCGAGAUAGCUUUUUUGUGUAUAUUUUCCCUCAUCGAGUCUUUGUCCUUGACAAUUAGAGAACUAAGAGUUGCUCUGCCUAAGAAGUUUGAUAGUAGAAGAUCCAAAUUUUAAGGAUUUAUCAAUCAAGUACAACUUGUGAUUGAACUUCAAUUCCAAAGCUAUUCAACUCCAACAUCACAAGUUAGAUUCAUUAGUACACUUCUUUCAGGUUUAGCAUUAUGGUGAUUUUUAUCUUUUCUUGAACAACUAGAUCCAAUAUUGAUAAUUUGGAGGCUUUUUUAGCAUAGUUUUGAUCCAUAUAUGGAAAACAUGAUAUAACUUGUGUUGCAAUCAAUAAGAUCUAUAUUUUACAAUAAGACAAUUGAUCCAUAACAUUAUAUGUUUUACAAUUUUGAUAACUUACAAUUGAUAUCAAGUAGGGUGAUGCUACAUUUAUUAACCAAUUUUUUUAUAGAUUACAAUAUGAGGUAAAGAAAUUGAUGUUCAACUUACCUGAUCUUCAAAUAUUGAGUUAAGGAAUUGACUUUGUUGUGAAGUAUAAUAAUUGACUUUUCAAAUUUUGAUUUAAGAGUCAGACAAGUUGACCUCAAUGUUACUAUAAUUCAAUGGCAACACCAAUGCUCUUCAAUACAUACAUUGAAAAGUAGAGGAUAUGCAAAUUAUUGUAAUAUGUUUCAAAUUUCUUAUUUAGCAAGAAAAAACUUGUUGCCAUUAGGAAGGAUUGUGCUUAUAUUGUGGAGAAUCUAAGCACACUACUCAACAUUUUUCAAAGAAGCAACGCAAUUAUAAAAUGAGAAGUAUAAAUGUCAAAGAAGAUAAUAUAUUGAAAAAUGAGUUUGUCCAGCUACAAUAGGAACCAUGCUACUGGAAUCUUGUACAAUAGCUAAUGAAAGUCCUAUUCUCUCGUAAAAAUCUUCUCCUUGUUUUAUAUUAAAUAUUAUUUUACGACUUAUAUAUUAUAAAGCCUAUACCUUGUUAGAUUCAAGAACCUCAAUGUAUUUCUUAGUUGAAGAAUUUACUAAAAGACUAAGCAUAUUUUUAGUAAAGAAAACUAAACAUGUUCACGUAGAAGUCAUAUAUGGUCUUCUGUUGUCUUUUGAUGAUGUUAUCGACAAAAAUUUUCAUAUAAAAGUAAUAAUCAAUGGUUAUAAUAGCUUUCUGAUAUUUAAUAUCAUUAGAUCUCUCUUUAAUCCAAUCAUUUUAGAUUUAUUGUGGUUAAAAAAAUACAAUCCUUGAAUAGAUUGAAUUUCUUGUAUUCUUAACUUUUCUAAAAAUAUAACUAAGAGUAUAGUUAAUUAAGUAAAAAAUCACAAGUCUAAUAAAAUUAAACCUAUGUUUGUAGGUAUAAGAGCUUUUUUACAUGCUGCAAAAGAAAGAUCACCUUGUAUUAUUUAUACUACACCCAUUUCUAAUUGUAUAAAGACUUCAAGUGGUAUUUCAAGCCAAUAUCAAGAAUUUUAAGAUGUAUUUGAUAAAAAUAAUGUGGAUACCCUUCUAGAAUACCAUCCUUAUAAUUGCUCAAUUGACCUUCAAGAAAUAACACAAUUACCAUUUGGACCAAUUUAUAGUUUAUCACAAAAUAAAUUGGGCAAACUCAAGGAGUAUAUUCAAAAAAAUCUAGUUAAGGACUUCAUACGCCAUUCCAUAUUUCUAGUAGGAGUCCUAAUUCUAUUUGUCAAGAAAAAAGAUGGAUUAUUGCGGAUGUGUAUUGAUUAUCAAAGACUUGAUAAGAUCACCAUGAAGAACAAGUAUAUACUACCUUUAAUAUCUAGACUUCUUGAUCAGUUGAAUCAAGCUAGGAUCUAUAUAAAAAUAGAUCUAUAAAAAUCAUACAAUCUUGUACACAUCAAAGAAAGAGAUGAAUGGAAGACUAUAUUUUGAAUCAGAUACGAUUGUUUUGAAUAUAAUAUCAUGCCUUAUGGACUUUACAAAUGCACCAACAACUUUUCAACAUCUUAUGAAUGAUAUUUUUUGAGAGUUUUUAGACGAUUUUGUUGUUUAUUAUAUAGACAACAUCUUGAUUUAUUCUAAGAAUAUAGAAGAAUAUGAACUUCAUUUUUGUUGUAUGUUACAAAAAUUAAGAGAUAUAAGACUUUAUGCCAAGAUAGAAAUAUGUAUAUUCCACACUACUCAAGUUGACUUCUUAAAUUACAUUAUUUCAAACAAUAGACUUAUGAUAGAACCUAAGAAAGUUCAAACUAUUAUGGAUUGGAAGAUCUUAAAAAAGGUCCAAGAUGUCUAAUAUUUUUUGAGAUUUUCUAACUACUAUUGAAUCUUCAUCAAGAACUUUUCUUGAAUUACAACUCCACUUAUAUGUUUUAUUUGUAAAGACAAAUCUCAAUGAAAUCAAGAAAUAAAAGCAAUAUUUGAAGCUUUAAAGAUAAUCUUUAUUUUUGCAUCAAUCUUGUAUUAAACCAUAUAAUAUUACAAAAAAUGGUCUUUUUGAGUGUGCUCAUUGAAUUUCCUACUAUCUAUGUAUGCUCUUAAUUUACCAUUAUUUUUCUUUAUAACGACCAUAGAAGAGAUUCAAUAUGUUAUUUCCUUUGGCUUAAUAAAACCAGCUUGUAACAAUUUUUUCAACUCUCUCUUAAUAAUCAAUUGGAAUUGAAGAUUCAUACGUCUUUCUUUUUAUAUAAUUAACUUGGCACCAAGAAUAAGGAGAAUAUGAUGUUGAAUCACCUCAAGUGAUAUACCCUUCAAAUCCUUAUAAGACCAUGCUAAAACAUCUUGAUAUUUCAUGAUCAAAUUAUAAUAUCUAGAUACUUCUUUUUAAUUUAAAUAAGCUCUAAUUUUAAUAUUUUUGGACUUUUUUUCUUGAUGAAAAACAUCUAUGAUUUUCCAUUUGGAUUCUUGCAUUGGAAAUUAUUCUAAAGAAUUCUUAUAUCAAUUACUAGAUAUAGGGGGAUAGUUGAUAACUCCAUUAUCAACUAAAAUUGCCGAUGAAAUAUUUUAAAACUUAAGAGGUGGUACUAAGUCAUCAUUUCUUUUAAAAACCUCAAUUUCUUCUUCUAAUAUUUUAUCUAUAUUAAUAUUAAGAACAUAGAUUUCUUUGACUUUUAAAAUUUUUAAUAUACCUUUCAAAAACUUAAUUGAUUUAUUAAAAUUAGAAUUGGAAUCUAGAUGAUCGUUUAGCCAUUGUUUAAUUAUCCAUCAUCCUUUCAAUGAUACAAGUUGAGACCUAAGUAUUUGAUUUUUUUUGAAUCGUGUUCAAUUGAAUUAACCACCCUUUUAAUUUGCUUUACCUUUUGAAUUUUUGAAUAUGUUCUAACGAAUCAAUAGAAUUAAUUUUUUCAUGAUUAAGGAUAGAUCGAAUAGAGAUUUUGGUUCUAUUCUCUCAUGGAUCAAAGGUAAUAUGGGGCUUGUUUCUCCCCCCUAGUUGACUAUGGCUUUUGAAUCCCUUAACCAUGGCCUAUCAAACAAUAAAAGAAAUAAAUCCUUUGACAUAUGUAUUCAAAUGACAUGAUAUGUCAAGGCAUAUUCUUCUUCUCCUAUUCAAGUUUUACAAUUUUUAAUUUGGCGUGCUGAAAUAGAUGGACUUUGAUUUGCCAUCUUGAUAACAAACGAAGAUAGACUAGUCAUAUUCAAUCCUAGAUUUUCAUGAUUUGGAAGGGUAUGAUAUUCAAACUAUUGCCACCAUCUACAAUGAUAUAGAGAAUUAUUUUGUCGAUAAUAGAAACCUCAAUUUAUAUUAUCUUCAUCUCACUUUGUUUAGCAUAGGUAUCUAUUUUUGCUAUUAUCUUAAUCUUAGGCCUUCUUUGAUUUUUCAUAGAAAUUUAGGUCUAUAAUGCCCUCCUACCUACUAAAAAAAUAUCCUAUAAUUAGGUAGAUGUAAUAUUAGUCCUUAAUUUACUAAGAUCAUUUCAUAAAUUAUAUUCUUGCGCAUUGAAUCCUUCCACAUCUUUGUAUUAUUGAAAAACUUCAAACAUUGAAAUUUUGGGAUCCUUUUAACUAUGCUUAUUCAGAUUAACACUUAACUUAUUUUCAACCCAAGAUUUUGAAAAGGCAAUUCUUCUACCAAACAAUCAAAUCUCAUAGAUUUAACAUUAUUGAUUCAAGUUGCCUUAAUUAUAUCUUUUGUAACUUGUUCUAAAUUUUAGAAGCAAAGUGGACUCUCUGAUAUACUACUUUCUUUUUCUUGAUAGACAUGUAAAGAUGCAGCUCUAAAUCUAGUCAUUAUUGCUAGGACUAAUACACAAGUAAGUUCUUUCUCUUUGAUUAUUUAUUUUCAAACAUUAUCAAAUUUAAUUUGGGAGGACGGAAUUGAUUGAUAUUAUGUUAGACAGAAUCUUAAAUAGGUUCUAGCUCUCCUAUGGAUUGAGGCACAAAUCUCACAUCCUAAGAUCCUUGACCAUGUCUAGGUUAGUUAGAAGGAUUUUGACUUUGGUUAGGAUUUAAUGGAAUAUAUCAAAAACUAGUUUGAAGCCCACUAUGUACAUUCUGAUUCAAUCAAUUUUUCUCAUAGUCAUAAUAUAAAUUUUGGGACCUCAUAUUAUUAUCUAUUGGAAGUUGUUUUACUUUUCUUCGAUUAUUAAAUGACUAUUGAGGAUAAUUACCAAGUGGAGGUUGUAAAGGAACCACUCUAUCUAGUUUUCUACAAAAUUUCGUGGAAUGGUUACCACCACAAUUUUCACACUCUACUUCGUUUUUAAUUUAGCAUUGACCAUGUAGAUGUUUUUUUCCAUAAAAUGUAUCAAAUUCUACUUAUUGUCUUCCUUGAUUCAUAGAACCUUGGUUCCUAGUAUUAAAUCCUUAUUGUCCCAAGUUAUAUCCUUAAAAGGCUUGAUUUUUGUGUCGAGGAACAUAUGGUUGGAAAUAUUAUUCUUGUAAAGGAAUGGAAUUACAAAAUUAGGCCAAAUGCCCUGAUUUCUUGUAUUGAGUAUAUUAUAAUCCUAUUGUAUGUCUUCUUGCCUCAAUGGAAGGUAGGAAAGGAUUGAAAUUGGAAUUUUUAACUAGUCCAACUAAUUGUUUUGUCAUCAACUUCAUUUGAUGAGAGAUUUGGAUUUGGAAUUCUAAUUGAGAUGUCCUCAUCUUUUUUGUAAAUCCUCUUUCUAUCUAUUAUCCUCAAUAGGAUAGCUUAAUGUCAAUAAAAGAGGUAGAGGCCUAAUAUUUAAUAGUAAAAGAUAGGUUCCUAUGGUUGUAGGAAUAAGUGGCGGUUGAUCAUGCAAUUGAGAGCUUGACGCAUAAUGAUUCUUUCCAUGGGUGGAUGUAAAGCUAGGGAUAUUGUGGUCUUCAUUAUGCCAUAGCCUUUCAUAUUCUUUGUUGAUUUAUUCUACUUCCUUUGCUACAUGUUUAACUACCAUAAGGUCCUUAGAGCUUGCAUGAAGGAUUUCUUUAAUGGUUUCUUAUUUGAAAAAUCCUUGAAUGAAAAAAUGUUUCAAGGUAUUAUUAGUGAGCAAAGUUCUUACAAACCUUGUCACUACUAAUUCAAAAUGUUGAAUGUAUGAUAUAAUGUCUUCAUCCUUCCCUUGUCUAAGAGAAGAUAAAGUAGUUAGAGCCAUAUUUUGUCCUACUUUAGGCCAAAAUUGUUCUAAAAAGGCACGUUGGAUCAUAUCCCAACUUAAAAAGGUGUUAGAAGAAUAGUUGCAAUAUUACUCAUAUGUUCCUUCUUUUAAUAUGGUUGGAAAUCACACUAAAUAAUAACGGCCAUCUAUUAUCAAACAUAUAGUGAAUGUUUCUAUGAAAUACUUUAUGUCAGCCAAAGAGUCUUCAUUUCUUAUACUCUUGAAGAUAAGAAGAUUAAGAGGCAUAGGUGCAAUACUAAGUUCUUCGAGAAUUUGAAUGGAUAAACUUCUUAGUUGGAUCAAGGGAUUAAUUGGUAUGGAUGGUUGUUCUUUCCAUUCUGCUCUAUUCAAAUCCAUUGGUUCUUACAGUUGAGGCAAUUGAACACCUUCUUGAUCCAAAUUAUUUGUAUUAUCUACCAAAGUUUCAAAAAUAAUUUUUUUUGAGUUUUCUUCAAGGUCUUCUAAAGAAAGGUCUUCAAAUUCUUCAAAGAGGUUUCUAGGUGUAUUUAAAUCGGAUCCAAGAAUUGAAGUCUUAAUGUUUGAUAAAGAAAGUAUAAUAUUUCUUACAAACUAUGGAUUUUUUAAGUAUUGUACUAAUAUAGAUUUAUGGGACCUAGUAGAGAUGUGUAUUAAAUUGCUACAAUCACAAUUUCAUCUCUAAAAAUUAAAAACUAAAAAAAUCAAAUAAGCCAGACAUGGUAUCAUAUAAAAUUUAGAUUUUUAUUAUCUUAUGCUUAUUAACUUGCAAUCUACUUAAUUAAUUCUUUCGAUAGAAAAGGAUAAUAUCAUAAAAAUAACCUAAAAGAAGAAUAUUUACUUGAAUAUCACCCCAAGUAAGACUUUCCUUCUCUUAGAUUAUUAUAUGAAACGACAUUGUGUAGGAGUGACCCUAAGCAAUAUUCAAUCCAAAGGCAUUCUAUUGCUCCCAUAGAGCCAAAGUUUUUUUUUUCUUUUCUUUUCUUUUUCUUUUUACACCAAUGUAGUUUGGAAAUUAUCCACUAAUUUAUUAAUGACAAAUAUAUUGAAAAAAAAUGAUUCUUUACAUGCAUCAAUCCAAUUUGAAGAAAAAUUCAUCUGAUUGCAUUGCCAGCCAAUUUAGCACAUAUUAAAGAAUAUUUAAUAUGACCUUCUUAUUUAAUUUGAACUAAUCAAUUUUUUUAAAAAAAAUAUAUAUUUUUUUGAAUUCAAAUAGAAAAGGAUUCUAAAGCUCUAUUGAUUCUAAAGAAAAUAAAAUUUAUAAGAAGGUUUAGAAAGUUACCUCUUUUCAUCCCAUCCUUCUAGAUUCUACUUUCCAACUCCUACUUCUCACUCCUUAUAUUCAAGAAAUUUUCUAAAAUUUCAAAGAAAGAAAUAAUUGAUAAGGUUCAAAGAUUUACUUGUUUGCAAGCUAUUAAUGCUUUUCUCCUUUCUUCUUAUAUUUUUUUUCUUCAAACCACAAUUUGUAUUAGCAAAAAAAAUUUUAAACUAAAUGAACUUUGUUGAAAAGAUACUUACUUUGGAUUAUAAUUUGAGCUUGUUGAUCUUCAAUCUUCUUCUUCUUCUUCUUUUUUUUUUUUUUUUUUUUUUUUUCAAAUUCCUUCUAUCUAACUUUUCUACUUAUUCUUUCUUUUUGAAUUUUUUCUUCUUUUGUUGAUGAAGAAUUCUCUUGAAUUCUUUUUAAGCUCCUUCUAUAUUACUUCUAUGAAUAGAAGAGAUAUAAGGGGUGGGAGGAGUGAUGAAAUCUCCCCACUACUAGAGAAAAGCCCUCAAUUGGAAAUUUGGAAAGAUAAAAAGAAUUGAUAUGAAGGGUGGAAGGAGUGAUUAAAUCUUCCUACCACUAGAGAAGGUCCCUCAACUAGAAAAAUUAUAAAGAGAGGGAGUGAUGAAACCUUGAAGACAAGCUCCACCUUGUAUACUUUUGGAACUAAGAACCAACUUAAGAAAAACCACCAAAUAAUGCUAAGACUAACAAUAAACUAAUCAAAUAUUACUUAAGGUUAAAAAUAAUAAUAUUGUAGAGAAAAUCAAUUAAUGAAGAAAUAAAAAAAUAUACUAAAUUGAUCUCAAUACAUGAAAUUUAUCAUGCACAUAAAUAUAUAUAUAUAUAUAUAUAUAUAUAUAUAUAUUAGUAGAUAAAAGUAAGAGUAAAAAUUAAAAAUAAAAAAGAUAAAAGAUUAGUAAAAGAAAAAAUAAAAGUAAAAAUAAUAAUAAAAAUAAAAGUUAAAAAAAAUAAAAAUAUUAAUUAAUUUUAUUUUUUAUUAAUUAAUCAAAUUUUUAAUUUAAUUUAAUAUUAUUAUUUCUAUUUCUAUUUCUAUUUCUAUUUUAAUUUUAAUAUAUUAUUUUUAAUUUAAUAUUAAUUCUCUUUUAUUAAUUAUUUCUUUCUUGAUUUGCAUAUAUUUUUAAUUUAAUUAAAUUUUUAUUUUAAUUUUAUAUAGUUAAGAAGAAGGUUUUUAAUAAAAAAAAAAUUAAUUAUAACAUAAAAUCCAGAAUGUAAAUGAUAGAAGAGAUAGAAAUCACUAACCUCAAUUGUAUUCCACUCAUAGCAGCAGCCUCUCUCCACUCCAAAAAUCGCUACAAAUUCAAUUUUGAUUCAAUAGUAUUAAAUCUUUCACCACUACAAACUCAAGUUUAAGGUGCUUGUCUUCCAAAACUUUUACAGUAAAAUAAUAACUAGGCACUAAGAAAUGCCUUUCCAAAUAAGGGGUACAUGAAACUGCCAAGGCAGUGAACCUCUUCUUAAUCUAAAAUUCACUUAAAAUUCAAAUCAACUCCAAUUUGAGCGUGUAAUAGCUUUUUAGAAAGCUAAGAUCCCAAUAAACAACUUUGAAAAGUUUAAACUGAAAAGAUGCAACACAUAAAAACUGAUUGAUAAAAAUCCGAGAGCAAUACACAUUCAUUUCAACAUUGAAAUCCUUGACUAUCUUAUAAAGUGAAAAUUUGGAAUGCUUUGUUUUCACAAAUAAAGAAAAAAUGUAUGACACUUACCAAUAAUGAAGAUCCAUUUGAACUGUUUAUUCAACAAAACCAAGCAAGAUUAAUCACAACAAGCAACUUCACAUUCACACUCACUAUUAGAAGCACCACUUCCUAGUAAAUACACCAAAAUGUCAGUGUAAAAUUCACUCCUCAAUCCAAAUUACAAGAUGGCCUCAGUUAAGACUUUCUUGUAAUUGGUGGUGUGAAGUAAAAGUAGCAAGAACAAGGACAAAAGGAGCAAAAUACAAAAAAUAAGUGAAACAGGCAAUCAAGUAAUUGUACUCUCAAAAACUAGUUACAAUCUAUUCAUUGAGUUUUCAUCUAAUAAAAAAUAAAAAAUAAAAGUAAAAAUUUUAUUUUUUGAAAUAUUUUUUAUAAUAUUUUUGAUGAUGUAAGAAAUAUGUAAAUCCAAAUUACUAUGAAUAAGUUAUGAAGGUUUAAAAAAUAACAAUUAAAUAAAUAAAAGUUAAGUCAAUAAUUUUAAUUCAAGGAUAACUUGUUUAAGAGAUCAAGAAUUCGAGCCUCAUCAAGGCUCACAAGUAGUAUAUAUGGUUCCUAAGAUAGGCUAAGAGGCCUUAGUCUUAUCUUCUUAACUACCUUCAAGGUGCUACAAUCCAAAUGAGACUUGUGCACCUCUCAUCUAACAAGGACUAUACUAGCUCCUAGUUCUCCUAUUUUUUACUAGUAAAAUCCAUAAUUUUACAUUUUUUUUUCUUCUCCAUGGUGUUUAAAAACACGCAAUCAGCCUAAGAACCUUCUAUAGCCUUCAAAUCUUACUUCAUUUCUUCAUAAUGGCUCCCAAAGUAGUAAAACUCAUUUUUACCAAAGUCUUAGAAAUUACUCUAAAAAUUCUUUAAAAAAUUCUAAAUAAAUUCUAAUUUUUUUAUAAUGGUUCUAUAAUACUAAUAUCAAUUGAAGGCUAUAAUUUCCUAACUUUAUCAUUUUUAUAGUAAUAAAAAAAAUUUAAAUCUAUUAUAAAACUUUCUUUUUAUAUAACUAAUUAAAAAGACAUGAGGUUCUUUCUCAUACUUCUCCUAACUACUAACUAACAUUUGUAGUUUUUCUUAUAAAUAAUAUGUAUAGAUAGAAAGCCAAUAUAAAUAUUGACCUUAUUAAAUAUCCCUCAAUACUCAAUAAUAACUAAAAAAAUACUAAAUCAACUAAGAUAAUUGCUUCCAAGACUUACCAAGAUUCUAAUUCUACAACUAACACUCUAAUUUUCUAUUUGUCUAAAGAUAUAUCUAAGUUUGAGUCCAAAAAAAACUUACUCUAUUUUAAAAAUUUACUAUAUGUUCUAAAAGAAGAAGCACAUUUAUAUUACCUUUAAGUAUAUCUCAACUUUUCAGUAGUAGGACAUUUUCAAUACAACAAGUCUUUGGAGCUUAUAUCUAAAGAUUUUUGGUGGCCGCAAAUGUGAUAGGCUAUAAAAGACUUUGUAAAAUCAUUUGAUAUUUUUUCAAGAUCAAAAACUCUUCAUUAUUAAUCUUAUAGACUUUUUCAACUAUUAUCCAUACUAAAACAACUAUGGUCUUAUGUUUCUAUAGAUUUUAUUAUGAAUCUUCUAAGUUUAAGUUUAUAUGACUUUAUAUUCAUGAUUGCAAAUCGCUUCAUAAAAAUUGCAUAUUUUAUAUCAUUUAAAAAAUCUAUUUUAGGUGAAGAAACAACUAAGCUUUUUCUUGAAAACAUCUAUCGCUAUUAUAGAUUGUCAGAGGAUAUUAUAUCAAAUAAAAUGAUAUAAUUUUAGAAAAUCUUUUUUAAGAUAUUGAAAGUAGAUAUAAAAUUACCUUUGGACUUUCAUCCUUAAAUUAAUAGGCAACCAAAACAUGUGAAUCAAGUUUUCGAGUAGUAUUUGAAGUAUAUAAUUAAUUAUCAUCAAGAUGAUUGGACAACUCUUUUGCCAUUGAUAGAUUCUGUGUAUAAUAAUUUGGCACAUUCUUCUAUUUAACAAACACUUUUCUUUGUCAAUUAUGAUUAUCAUCCACAACUUGAUAUUUUUGACUUUUCAAAAGUUGAUAAUCUUGUGGCAGAAGAUUUGACAAAUUAUUUAUUAGAGCUACAUGCAACAAUAAAAGCAUAGUUAAAAGAAACUCAAGAACAACAAAAGUCUUAUGUAGAUGCUUUUUGCAAGAAAAAACCACAAUUUAAUGUGGGUAACAAGGUAUGGUUACUUUAUUGCAAGAUCAAGAUUAGAUCCUAAAUCUGGCCUUUGUAAUAAAUUGGACUAUCUUAAGUAAUGAAAUUGUAUAGAUAUUCAAGUAAUAUAUAUUUUUAUUGUAUCAACAAGAAUCUAACCAACAUAUUUUACUUAAGAUUUUGCAUAAAAUAAAGGUGUUUUAUUAUUUCUUAUUAAUUUUUUAAUUAUAAGUAAACUUAUAAAUAUAUCAAAGAUUAAAUAUAUAUAUAUAUAUAUAUAUAUAUAUAUAUAUGCUUUAGAAAUUUUAAUUUUUUAAAAGAAAUAACCAAAAAAAAUUCAAUUCAAUAUGAAAUUAAUUCAAUUUUUAUUUAUUUAUUUUUAAAUCUAUAAUAAUAAUAAUUUAAAUUCUUCAAAUAUUUUAUAUUUUUAAUUAUUUUUAGUACUAACUAUUUCAAAUCUUUAACAUAUUUGUAACAUAAUUUUAUCUUUAUCUUUAUAUAAAAUAAUUGAUAUAGAUGAAUUAAUAACUAUUAACUUUUUAAACUUGGCUUUUUAUUUAAUAUAUCUAUCCAAAAUUAGUAUUAGAUAAUUAAAAAUUAUCAAUAAAUUAGAAGAAAAAAAGAUUAAAUAUUGAUAUUUAAAAAAAUCAAAUAUGAUAGAAAGAAAUAAUUCUAAAUAAUAUGAAUACAUUAUCAAUAUAUUAUGUUACAUUUAUUUCGAAUAAAUUUUUAAAAACCAUAAAUAAUAAGAAUAAUAUUAAGAAUUUUCUAUUGAAAUUAAAACUAAAUUCUUAUCCAAAAUAAAGAAGCUUGUAAUGUUUUGUAUAAACAAAUAAUAGAUUCUAAAGAAAAAUUAAUAACUAUACUUUCUAUAUGGAUAAUUUAAGUAUUAUAUACAAGUAAUUUGAAUCUUUAAAUUCUUUAAUGUUAUAGAUUUAUGAAUGCAACAUCAAGACAUCAAAACAUAUAAAAAAUGAAUCUAUAAUAAGAUCUCUUAUUAAAUCAUAAACACAUCACAAGUUCCAAAGUGUGGCUUAGAAUUUUCUAUGUGUAAUAAAAGUCGUCAAGAAAUUUUCAAAUAAUUCUUUGUCAUCAAUAUUUAAAAUCAUGAUUUUAUUUUUGUAGUAGGAAUUAUUUUUUUUUACUUAUCAAUAUUCAUAAUAAAAUUCUAAGAAUUGUAGAAAUUUAUCUAAUAAGAAGAAAAAAUAUUUAAGAUAUUUAGAAGAAUAAAACAUAAUAUUUUAUGCCAUUAACAAAAGCUAAAUGCUUUUGGAUUUUUUUAAAUUUACUAAUAGUUUAGUCUUUGAUAUUUUGUUUUUAGUAGAUGCAUGUAUUAACUAAAGUCUAAUGAUUAAAUUAGAAUUUAUGAUACAAAUAAAGCAUUUCUAUCAAAUAAUGUCUUUUAGGUCAACUAAGUAUUUUGACCAAUUUAUGUUUAUUCAUAUUUUAUAUAGCCUCAUCUUAUAAAGAUAAAAAUAUAUUUUUUUGAAAUAUAAUUAAGAUUUUUAUAUUAUAAUGAUGUAUUAAUGGAUCUCUUAUUUUAUCUUAAAUGGGCAUGAGUUCAUUUUAAUAUAAAAAAUAUAUAAGCUUUAGCUAAAAUUAUAAUGGUGAUUUUAUAAUCAAAAGAAAAUUUUAAAAUUUAGAAGAAAAAAUGAUAUUUUUGGUACUAUUAUAAGAUGCAACUUUAAUCCAUAAAUACAAUAUUAGGAAAAAAGAGUCAAUUUUAUGUCUUAUUCUACUAAACUUGGUACAAAAAUUUUACAAAAAUAUUAAGUUCAAUAGAAUUUGAUUGCAUCUACAUAAGAGAAUCAAUUAGAUAUAAAUUACAAUACUAAUAGCAAAAAUAUUUGGUUUUGAUUUCAAGCAUGUAAUGAAACUAUGUAUUUUUUAUUAAUCUAUCAUACAAGAUUUGUAAUAAAAAUUUGAAGGCAUAAUUCAAUAAAAAGAACCUCAAAUGCAAUCCAAUUAUAUGUAUCAAGUCUUUUAAAGAUCUUGCCUCAUAAAUCUAAAAUUCUUGUUAAGCUAGAUAAAUUUGAAAAUAAAUAACAAGUGUUCUUUAUAAUUUAUCUACUAAUCCUAAAUUUUGAAGUGCUUAGAAAGUAUUUACAUAAAAAUAAAAAAUAAAAAAUUCUAAAGAUAUUUCUAAAGUAUUUAAACAAUUUCAAAUAACAUGGUCUUUAUUUUAAGGAUCCUAUCUAAAAACAAUAUGGAUACAAUACAAUGAUUCUUCAAUAAAUAGUAAGACAUAGAAUGACCAAAAAACUAAGUGAUUUUUUAUGAUCAAAUUUUAUUUAUUAUGGUUGGGUGUGUUAGAAAUUAAUAAGAAUAAUAAUAAUAAUAAUAAUAAUAAUAAUCACAAGCAAACAAACAAGUAAUGGUGUAACUCUUUUACAUAAAUGAGACAAAACAUGGAUGAUUUGUAAACUAUUAGGAGUUAGAAGAAAUACAAUAAUUUUUGGGAUUUAAGAAUUCUACAAAGUAAUUGAUAAUACAUAGUUCCUUAGAAGGAAACUAAAAAUAUCAGAAGUAGACUAACUAAUAUUAAUGAUUAGUAAUAUGUACUAAUCCUAGUGUAUUAGAAUUAUGAAUAAUCAAUGUUUUCUACAACCAUUCUAUUAUUCUCAAAAUUGGGUAGGCCCUAUUUGUGUACAAAAAAAUUAAAAAUAAAUAAAAAUAAUUUCUACGAGCAAAAUAUUAUAAAAUAAAACAAUUAUUUAAAAACCUCAAAAGAUCCUUAAAAUGUAGAUGAACUAUCUUCAUAAUGAAGUGUCUUUUAUAUAUAUAUAUACAUUUAUUUUUAUUUUUUUUAAUGUCUAAAAUUACACUCAUUUAAGAGGAAAAUAAAUAAAUAACCACACUAUUUUAUUAUCAUUGAAGGCAAUAUUUACAUAGUGUCAAUGUAGUGCUGAGAGAGACAUAGAAUUAUUGAGUAGAGAAGCACAAGAUGAAUGCAGCAUAACGGUAGUGAUAAUAGAGCAGCAUGCACACCUGUGCCCGGAUUAUGUUUUUUUAAUAAAUAGUGGUGCGAAAACAACAGACUGAGAGGAGAUGGCACAUGGAGGCAGGCAGUGAAUUAGGGUUCGGUUGGGCGUUUGUUAAACAGCACUUUGCAUUGACAGCAACACAAGCUUGGUUUAUGCGUAAUGUGGGUGGUACCGAAGGAGCAGUUCUUUGGACAGGAGUCUAUCCUGGACAAAGCUUGAUCAUGUCAAAUAAUCUCAAACUACAUGUGUAGAUUCAGUGCUAUUAAAAACCUAAAUCUAACUGUGGUCAUUCAUUUCAACCGCUGCACAACCAUGCGGUUUUCUGUCUCAAAAAUAAUUCAAAAGAUCUGCGAUUUUUUGAUGAGCUCAGUUUUCACACUCCAGAGAACACACAUGAUAGUGAUCAUAACUUCAUUCUUCUUCUUUUUUCUGUUUUUGUCUAAUGUUUCAGUACAUGUAUGCCUUCGAUGUGUAUUUCAUCAAAGCAAGUGCACAACUCUAUCUGGGGUCUCUGCAUAAACUACAAAGUGAAGCUUGGUGUUUCAUGACUACCUGUUGCGAUUCUUCCAUCUUCCAGUGAAGCUGAAAUGAGCAGUGGUCACAUUCGGUAGAUGGAACUGAACUGAAGUCAUCAACAAGCCUCCUAACUACCAGUAUCUCCUUCACACAAAAAUAUUUUUUCAUCGAAUCAACCCUCUAUAAGUGCAGCGCAUCAGAAGUGAAUUUUUUUCAAACAUUUAGAGUGUGUGAACAUUAGAAUAGUUAGACAUGUAAAUAACAUAGCAGUGUACACGUACAUUCUUCAUAUUCUUCAAAAGCUUUAAAUUUAGGAUUCAGUAACUUUUAUACUAUUAAGGUAGAGGGAGGUUCUUUGGUCUCCAACGAGUUCUCCCUCGAAGUAUCUCUGCUCCAUCACUUUCCAUCCGCAACAAGUGUACAAAUUGCAAAAAACCUACAUUGACAUCUGUAAUUUUCAACUCAGGCAUCCGAGUCGGGGAAGCUGCCGAGUGUGAGAAGGUAUGCGUUGCACCGUUAGAUGCGCCAUUAGAUGUCCCAUUUGAAACCCCAUUCGACUCUGGAGAAUCCGAGAUUGAUGGCUCAAGACUGACCAUUGAUUGAACCAUAUCAGACUGUCCGCACUCUCGCCUGUACUCCAGAUUCAUGCUAGCCAACUCAUAAUUGUCCAAAAUUGUGGGCGGAAUACCCUGCAUGAGCACAUCGCAUAAUGAGUUUCAAGUGCAAUAAUUACUAAGGACAAAAAGGACAUUGUUCCAUAGGAAAUCGCAUUGGAAAAUGAAAAACGGGAGGAGAAGCAACCUCACGUCCGGAGGAUAUUUCAUGUGCAUUUACCUCCAUCAUCCAACCGAUGUACUUCACGUUGUUCACAUGCUGAUUCAUGUCUAAAUCACUGCGUCUCGGCUGCACGAACAAUGAAGUCAAGUCUCAUCAACAUUCGUACCUUCCAAUUGAUUUUGAAACCAUAGCCCAUCACACGUGGUAAAUCAAUUCAACGUAGAAUUAGUUCAACGAACACAGAAGGCAACUUACUGUUAGCCCUGACCGAACGAACUGUGCAUUCCCAUCGAGCCUGAUGAUCUUCUGUGUUAACAUGCUCUCAUCUUUAAUUGCCGAUCUAUCCAGAAAAUAGGGAGAAAUUUCAGCUCUGACUUCUUCGGGCAUCUUAGAAAGCUUUCUUGUUUUUCUGUGCAUCAUCACCCAUGUACUGCACACCACAACCAAUCCUAAACAAUAUCACCAUCAUGCACUUCUAGAUAACAGAAAAAAAUAGACCAUGGUAGAUUUUUUGAGAAGCUUUGUGUGUCCUUUUAACGAGGAGGGCUCCAGGUCAUUGGGGAUAUUCACCUAGUAGCACGGGCUAAAAUCUGUCCUGUUUUGUAAUCUCGUACAAGCCAAUCUCGACGCAUCCCAUUCUUUCCGGAUGCAGCAACCCACGUGCCCACCUCAACAACAUCGCCCCUGAUCAUGCACAAAUUCAAUGGGUGUCAUAGCCACUUGGCCGCCAGAAUGUGGUUGCAUUUGAGAACCUCACAAUUCGAAGGCAUUUUUCUAAAGCGGCUUUUCUACACAUGUCAUUUGAAGACCUAGAACAUAUUUAGCAGAGCAAAUUAAAUCCUGUAGAUAUGUUACAUCAUUUGCAUAAUUGGUAGUCCAUAACUCAAUUAAUCGAGCAAUCUUUGCAACAAGACAAAGGGGCAAGCCUAUCUAUAUUGUGCGCACCACGCAGGAUACUGCUCAACGUGGACUUGCAUCCGGCUAACGACCCAGAUUAGAUUCCUGCAAGACAUUGCACGCGUUGCUCCAAAGCCAUCCCCAGCAAUCCCCGACAUCCACACAUGAUUCAAAGCCGUCUCCUACACAAGGUCCGGCACAAAAGUUUUGUUGAGUUGCACUAGGCAAGUAAACAGAAAAAAAAAAAAAAAAAAAAAAAAAAAAAAAAAAAACUCACAGGGUAAAGGAUCCAGAAUAUCCAUGUAGACUGCGACGCAUGAACCUGCCAACCAUGAAUUUACACGACGCUAAGCAAACAGAAUGCCCAAUUACCUGGAAAUGAUUCAUCAUUGUCUCGAUGGAGGCCGUUCGAUCAGCUCCUAUCUCAUAUGAGCGAAUCACAAAUGUCUGCCGGUACACUAGCCUGCUCUCCACAAGCCUCCCUUGUCGAAGAGCAUCAACGGGAACUUCUGAUUUUACAGGAAAAACGUCAUGUCGCCUCUGAUUCUCGGCUGCCAGUGCGACACUGGCUAUGGCAGCUAGGAUCGCCCUAAAUGCUGCACUAUCUUUCUCGAGAACAGUGUGUGGCAAUACUUUCGAGAAAGCAUCGUUCACGUCUUCAGCCCUAUUUCCCCCUGUGAAGGCUCCAUUGCCUGUCGCCGCCGCGGCAUUCAUACCCCUCGAGGUGCCAUGCAACCCCGCCGAUGCUUUGAGCGGGAAUUGGCUGUCUGCUACCGAGAAAAAAUUGGAGAAUUCAUAUCCUGAGCUCGAUUUCACAGCAUAGCAUGCUCCAGGAUUUUUCGGUGAAUACGAGGGGGACUCGCAGUGCUUCCAAGGAGAAAACCCAGUGGCCGAACCGCCUUUCCAUGCAUCAAUACCAGAAUAUUUUGUUCUAAUUAAACCUGCUCCUGCGAUCAUCUCCAUCGACUCUACACCUGUGCGUUGUCACAUGCGGGACGGAGAGUCCCGCGAUUACCAAUCUAGCUUCGCAGCGACCGUCUGCGCCCAAGGGCGAUUAGCAAAAUGCUAGCAGUACAGGAGAAAAUGUGAUCUUUGUCUCCACCCUCUCCCCUCGAAGAUCCGAUUCUAUCUCAGCUGCCUACCUUCACGGCCCAGAUCUACACAAAAGCACUCUCAACAUUACCGCUUGCCGAUCUCGACCUACACCUUUCACCCUCCCCGAGACUUCUGCUCCAAAACUGAACGCCCCGUCCCCGCUACAAAAAUGUACUCAAUGUCACACCAUUUUCAACCCAAGCACAAGGGCAGAACUCACAUUCCAACCGACGCGAUGAUUUCAAACGAAACAGAGCACCCUGUCCUCGCUCAUCCUCGCCUCUCGCUCAUCCGCACACCAACAACCCCCGCUCUCGUUUCUCUCUCUCUCUCCUCUCCUCUCCCAGGCCAUCACCCAGCACAGCAUCCCCCAUGUGCAAUCAUCAUCAGCACCACCAUCAUAAAUCAUCAACAGAAUGUAUCAUUAAGAACAAAUUGGAAAGAGACCCCCAUGCCUAAAUCCAAAGCGUCCUCCCCCCUGCUCCACCAAAAUUAAAUACUCCCACGUACUUCGUAACAUACUGUACCUUGAGCAACCUUGCGGGGGAAGGAGGAAAGAGGGAAGUGUGUACUACUCACAUAUUCCUUCUGGAACGUUUUUCCUUCGCAAAUGAAGGAUGGUUUCCGGUUUCCUCAGGCUUUGGCGACAACGCUCACACUCAACCCAAUGAACGGUGCUCACCCUGGCUCCACUGCGUACAUUCCCGACUUCUCACUCUUUUGCUUGCUUCGAGAGUGGCGGUAGCAUUACCAAUGAAGCAUUCUACGAUGUGGGCGAGGAGUCAGGGGAAACGGGGGAGAAAGGGGGUCUAGGGGGGAGGAGGCUGUUGCUGCUGCUGCUGCAGGCAGGGGCUGCGAUUGCCUGACCUGACCUGGCCUGACACUGCCUUUCGCAACAGCUCGCGUCUGUUUUGCUUGUCUGCCAGCCUUGCAUCCAGCGACACUUUCCUUUUUAACUUACUCGCCCACAUCCGCUGCUGUACCACCACGGCGCGUCGGGUGGUGUCCUGUCACAUUCGAGUCCUGUCACGUCGCAGCCAAGCACGGGGCGCGGUCAUCCGGUAACUCCUCCCUUCACUCACCAGUAAGUCGCCGUUCGCCACCACACUGGGCAUAAGUACUUCCUUCGCACCUCGUCCGCUACCUCUCUCCUAGAAACCACAGAACAGGCCUCCGCUUGGUACAUACUAGAGGAAUGCUUGUGUGUAUGAGUCUCUGUGUGUGUGGGUGUGUGUUUUCGCUCUCUUUUCGACUGACUCGCUUAUAUUCGUGGCAUGAGCCGGUACCUAGUCUCAGUCAAUGCACAUCUCCUCCCCACUUGUCUUUUUCCUGCUUAUCUUCUGGCUUUCUUGUUUUUAUGCUUUUCGUUUCUUUUCUUGCAUUUCAUUGUUUGUGUUGUUGGUGUGAGCUCUAAUUACAAUUUCCUUUAGCAGGUAAGAAAGGGCGGAAGCUCCAACGACUUUGUGAGAAUCUGCAGAGCUGCCACGAAGGGGCCAUCAUCACUCAAUAUCUUAUGUUUCAUCUGCCUACACCCACCCUCAUUAAUGUGGCUGAGGGGAUUCCAUUCCUUGGCUUCGUCCCACACCACCUGAUUCUCUACCGAUCUACCACGUUGAAUGAAAAAAAAAACACACGGCCAAGAAUGUUAAAAUGAAUAAAUAAAUAAAGAAAUAAAAAGACUCACAUCUCGACUUCACGAAGGGUACAACAACUCGACCCCGCUAGGCAGUAGAAAGUCAGGCAGUUAGGCAGCCAGCUAGCCGGCGGACGAACAAGUGAGUGAAGGGCCAUGCCAGGCCAAGCAAUUCCGUCACGUUAGUGAAAUGACCCCAACAACUACUACUUGUUCCACACGCCACCGCGAAAAAAGGGUUCACACAAACAAAGAGCGCGACGUCCUCACAAAAACAUUUCCUCUGGGGGAAAUCUGCAAGUGUGGGAUUUGCUGGGGCUGCGAGCAUCCACAAAAGCCCCUGCCGCAUAAGUUCCCUGGUGGGGUACGGCGAUCCCGCUACAUACUCAUGGUAUGCCCUCCUCCUCGCCCUCUCAGCAUGGCAUUUUCUUCUUUACCCUUUUACACCUCCUUCCUUGUUCAUCACUGCACAGCGAGCGGUCUCGAGCUGCCGGCUACCGUUGCGCCACUGGUUUUGAGCUGUCGCCCACUGAUCUCAUCGUUUUUAUUAUUUCACUCCCUUCCAUUCUCUCCUUCCACUCAACAUUUUUACGAAGUUAGGAUCCCACUGGAUGCACACUCACACACACACACACACAUAUCCACACACCCACACACGGUUUUUGCUUUAGUUAUGGUUUCGUGCUUUCUGUGUAUCGGUGGGGGUUGCAUGGGCGCUGUGUGUUGCAAACUGAUUGCCUUACAUCCUCUGCUGCUUCACAACUGCGGUGAGUUCCGUUUCGAGAUCUGGAAACAACCAUAAUCUUCCCAACUGCGGCUCUCUGCUUGCUGAUCUGGAAACUGCCUUAGCUUUCAAAACUGUCGUUUCGGUUUGCAUCGGAAGCAUUUCACCGUCUGGAUUCGUGUCGGUACAGACUCUUCGAUGAGUUGUGGGAUGUGAUGAAUGGUGCUUCCUUGGAAGAUUUGUGUGAGUUUUAUCUGGGUGGGAAUAGUUUGAGAUCAAAAAUAGAUUCAAAUCGAGAUCUCUCUCUCCCUCUAUGUAUAUAUAUAUAAAUAUAUAUACACAUAUAUAUAUAAAUAUAUAUAUACACAUAUAUAUAUAAAUAUAUAUAUACACAUAUAUAUAUAUAUAUAGAUAUAUAUAUAUAUACAUAUGUGUAUUCUUUUUUGCAAAACCGUGAUUUUCCUUAUUAUUUUGGACACUUCAUGAUGCUAGACUUAUUGAAUGACAAAUAGUUUUAAAGCAAGUGUUAGAAUUGAUGAAAAAAUUACACAUAAUCUAUAAACUUCACAUGGGUGCACAACUGCAGAAGUAAUUUCGUGGUUAGACUACAUGAAAUAACUCACUAAAUCAUUAAUGUUCUUGAUUUUAAUGUUUGAAAAUAAAUAAAUAAAGAAACAAAUAAAACACACACACACACACACACUAAUCACACAGAAUCGUUGAAUGUAGGUGAGAAUGAUUGGUUUAACAUCUAUUGUAUCUGUAAAGUACUUACAAACCAGACUGUAAUGAAGUGGGUGUAUUUAAACUUCAAAAUAUUAUGAGAAUAAUGUACUGUAAGAUUCUCUUGACGAUUGGAUUGAUUGAAAAGAGCAUAAUAUCAAAUUCUGCACAUUGAUAAUAAAAUUCACCUUGUACUGCAAAUGUAGAACUGGAAAAGAAACCUCUUGUGACUAAUUUGUUAUCAGUUGCAACUAAUUUUUUUUGAAUAACGUGGCUUUUGGAAGAAUACAAAGACAAGGAAAAUGCAUCUAAUGGUUAAGAAAUGAUAAAGUGACAAUGUUUUAGGGUACUAUUUUGUUUAAUUUUGCAUCAAUCAUACUCUUUUAAAGUGUGUUAAAUGAAAAUGUUGAGUAAUUGGUAAAAUGAAACACACACACAUGUGUGUGUAUGUACAUGUAUAUAUGUAUAUAUGUAACAGUUUAAAGAUCAUAAAAUGCAUUAAUGAAAAUGAACAUUAUGUUUUAGGUUAUUUUGUCAAAAUAUUAUUUUAUUCAGCAUGAGUUAAAAUAUAUAUAUAUAUAUAUACAUACAUCAACAUAAACAAUUAACUUAUUAUCAAAAAGUAAAAGUGAUUAACUCCCCCACUCACGUAUAAAGCAACUUUUCAAGCAUGAUAAGGUACUUUUGUCUUUUUAGUCUCAUGACGUGGCAGUCAGCCCAUGUUUUGAAGCUUCCCUGAAGCACUGUUGUCCUUCAGUGGAGGUAGAUCCGUCACCAACUAUCUCCAGGGUAUCAACCAGGGUAUAGAUCAUAUGAUCAUGCCCAGUGACUGACCUCAUUGCUAAACAACAAGAGAAAAUAAUAAUAAUAAUAAUAAAAUGUUUGGGUUGUGAUUCUCCACCCAUUCCUCUAACUAACUUGUUUUUGUUUUUGACCACAUUCCCUUCUUCCUUACACAGCUACAAUCAAAGACCCAUGUUUGUUAUAGUAAAAGUUGGUUGCUAUUUCCAUAAGAAGAAAACAAAUGUUUAGAUAUUUCUAUAAUACGGCAAUAGACUUCAUCGUGCUACGAUUAAAAAAUCGAGUGGAUUGCUUUUCUACAAUAUAAUCAUAGACAUUGGCGAUCAUCACUAAGUUUCUCCAGCUUAAAUGGAUACGAGAAUUUUGAAUAAACGAUGAUGGACACACACACAAAAAAUAAUAAAAAAAUAUAAAAUAAAAUCACGAGGAAAAUAUUGAUGGGUAUAUUCACAUUUCAUGAAUAUAUUUCGUUGUUACGUGGCAAGUCAUUGACAGUAUGGAGACAUUUUGUCUAAUGUUAUAUAAAUGCGUAUAAAUGGUGAGAAACAUGCACAUUAAUAUAUUUGGAAUGAUGAGAAACAGCCCAUAAUGUGAUGAAGCGGAUAAAAAAGCAAAAAUGAAAUUCUACAUUAUCUGAUCCACAAUUCUGUAUUGGAUUAAGCUCUGAUCCAUUCAUGUACAGCUGGCGCACUUCUGCCACGCUGGCAUCCGACUCAUCCCAUCCCAAAACAGUAAUAACUACUAAACCAAUCCCAAUCAAAGGCCGCAAUGAAUGCCAGAAUUGGGCCUGGCCGGGCCGGGUCGAUCGGGGCCAAGCGCACCUGGGAUUCCUUACAACCGCUCCUACGUGGGUGCAGGUCGACCCUCGGUGACAGGGCGGGUCUUCGUUCUCCAAACUGGGGAACAACACCAAACCAACUACCAAACCGUCUGGGUCCUGGUUCGGGAUCAGGUUAGGACCCGAACCCAAUCCCAAACCCAAACCUGGGCCCUAUCUUUCGGCGCUGAUGGAUUCGACUGAGCAGAAGUCUUCGAAUAGAAUAUGCAGCACAUACUUACAAUGUGCGGACAUUGGAAAUAGUAAUUCUUUGUAGAGAUGAAACGAUUGGAGCUUAAGCGUCACAGAGGAGGAGAAGGGCAUAACAACAAAACGAGUAAAAGGAGUAAGGGAAGACGAACUGAGUGGAUAAAUAAGGAAAAGCGGUACUUUGGAGAGGACCAGUAGGGUGUCGUCAAUCGAUCGGCCGGGAAUCUAGAACCAGCAUGGCGACUGAUCGAUCAGCGGGUUUUGUUGGUUCCGGGAGGGAGAUAGGACAUAACCUCGGAAGCAUCGCACAUCGAGCAGAGCGCAGUCGAGGUGUGCGUGGAUUCGUCUGUUUGAUUCUCCUCGUUACGGAAUUGUUUUUGUUGUUUUUUGGCCGGAGUCCACCACGGAUUCGGUAACAAAGUCCCUGGGAUGUGGGGGAGGGUUGGAAGCGGAAGAGGGGGGAGGAGACGAUGGGUAGGAAUCAGUCAAAGGACUAGGACAAGCCAGGGUUGGACGCUCUGCGACCCAGGUAUUUUUAGUGUGUAGCUAUGGGAAGCGUAGCUAUGAUUCGAGCGCUGCGGCGGCUAUGUGGAGGGGGAGGGUUGGAAGCGAGAGAGCAGCUGCAAUCUAGAAGCUGUUGUCGCGAAUAAUGAGUCCGUUGUUCCUGUAAGCUGGGGGGGAUUAGAAGGUUUAUCCAGCUGGGGAUUACCUGCAAUCAGGUUUUCUGGUGGGAGCGGUGAAUGCUUCGGGCGGGUGGUAGGAGGGAGGUUGAGGUGGGAUUUUAGGAAGACGAGAUGAGUGAUCCAUAUGGGAGGAGAUUGUUGGUGGAUGAUUUCCACGUGGGUCCCGUGCUGGGUACUGGGGGGUUUUCGGUGGUGAGAGCUGGUGUGCGGAAGCAGGACAAUCUUCAGGUUGCUAUCAAGACGCUGAAGAAGUUCGGCUACGGGAGAGGGGACCAUGGCCGGCCCGGCGCGCAAAUGUCGCAGGCGGAGGCGCUGGUGAAGAAUGAGAUUAUGGUCAUGAUGCGCAUUGUGGACGAAGUGUCGCCUCACCCCAAUGUGAUUCAUCUUAUCGAUGUGUAUGAGGACGACGGAGCAGUGCAUUUGGUGCUGGAGCUCUGCAGAGGGGGCGAGCUGUUCGAUCGCAUAGUCCAGCACGAGCGAUACUCGGAGCGAGACGCCGCGAAAGUCGUGCGUCAGAUUGCGUCAGGGCUGGCCGCACUGCACCAGGCGCAGAUUGUGCACCGGGACCUAAAACCGGAGAACUGUUUGUACGUGAACCCCUUGGCAGAGGCGCCGCUCAAGAUCAUGGACUUCGGCUUAAGUUACAUUCACCAUAACACAAAUUCGAUUGUGGGUAUCUUUGGGUCGAUUGAUUACAUGGCCCCUGAACAACUCAGUCUGUCUGGCAUAAUGCCUGCCAAUGAUAUGUGGUCGCUCGGGGUGAUCCUCUAUAUUCUCCUAUGCGGGUGCGUUCUUUGAACUCACUCAAUUUUUCAAGAAAACCAGAAAUCCCCUAAUUGCAAAUUUCAUCUCCAUGUUGUUGUUGUUUUUUGCAAAUUUGUUUCAUGCAGAACAUGCUAGAGUCUAUGCUGUGUGUUUUCUAAGCUUGGCUCGUUUUUUAAUCUGUGUGCAGGUAUCCUCCAUUUCGUGCUAGGUCUAGCCGUGACAAGCAGAUGCAAAUCCUAACGGUGACUACUCGUUCCCACUUAUUACACUCUCGUAGUGCUCUGUCGGAUUAGAGAAACUCUUCUUGUUGUCUCAAACUUUUCUCUGUGCUUUCCCUUGUUAAGGCGUUUAUCGCGGUUUCUUCACCAUAGUAAACAGCUCGCGUGACAACCCGGCAUCGAGUGCGUUACAGAGACUCCAUUUACCAGUAGCUAACUGCUUUGAUUGAUUCGUUUGUACCGAUAUUUAAGUUUGUCAAAACGUCUACGCUUAGCACAGCUUUUGAGUAAGCCAAUCAUAGGUUUGCAGGGAUCAUACAGCAUGGAAGAAGAAAGUUGGAGAGGUAUUUCUCAUGAAGCGAAGCAGCUCAUUAGAAGGUUGUUGUCGGUGGAUCCGUUUGCGCGUCCCACUGCUCGAGAGGUAAGUUGUGUGCCUCACACUAAUCCAAUCUCAGCCCUCCCUUCCGGUACCGUUUAAAUAUUAUUGAUGGGCAUUCAAUAUUUACUUAACCCUGAAUAAGGAUAAGUGCGAGGUUGCAAAACCCCAUCCUCGCUCUUAAGCUGGAUUGUUGUCGUUCCUUUGAAUUUGUUGUCACUUUUUCCGAGGUCCGUAGUAAUGGCAAGAGCGUUUACCAAAGCGAUAUAGAAGAGUUGCUGACAGGGCACCAAUGGCGGAUGCCUAGUUAUUGUCACACCCAUGGGUGUCUGGAGAUAUAGCAAACAGGGACCUGCUUCACAAAGACGUUUUCAUGCGCUUACAACACUUCAAUGCCCGACGCAAGUUUCGGGCUACAGCCUAUGCCAGCAUUGUGAGAACAAAGUUUCUGCUGCGCACCAGAUAUUUGAAGGAGCUUCUUGGAGACCGUGUUCUUACUGAUUCUGAGUUGGAAGCUUUGCGUGUAAAUUUCAUGCGUAUGUAUGUACUUUACCGACACCGUCAGAUCCUUUUGUUUAGAUUUUUAUGGAGCUACUGGGCUUACGCCUUUUGAUCUUUCAGUAUUCCAUUUCCGGUCGCUCUUAGCUCUAAAACUACAAGAAAAGAAAACAGUUUUAGCCCUUCAUCUUAGAGAUAUAGUUACACAAUAUGAGCAGUGAAGUUGGUGCUUGACAAGGUCCUUUCUGGAUGGGACUUCGACUGAGCUGAUUACCGUGGACGUCUCCAUAUUGGGGAGCUUGUAUGACCUUUCAAUGCUGGUUUUGUGCGUACAGAUCUUCAAACGGACAGACGGCUACGCUUAAAGAGUUUGAAGAAGUUUUACGCUCCAUAAACUUGCACUGCUUCGUGCCACUUGCUCCUCGCAUUUUCGAGUUGUUCGACUACAACCACGAUGGCGGGAUAGAUCUGCGCGAAGUGGUCUGUGGAUUCUCUCUUUUGCGAACAUCACAUCUAGAUGAUGCCUUACAAAUGUGCUUCAAGGUGUGUCCCACGAAAGUUUUCUCUGCUUUCUGAAUCAUUAUCCAUCUCUAAUUCUACGUUUUUGAGUAGUUUUCAAUCUGCUCAAGUCUACUCGUCAUGAAUGCCAUACAUUGUGUACUUUCCGGAUUCCUCCUAGAUUUAAAUGAUCUGAAACAUAGCAAUUUUUCUCUCGGUGCUUGUAGAUCUAUGACAGAGACGAUUCUGGUUACAUUUCUAAGGGUGAACUGGCUCGAGUUCUUGGGGUAUGUCACGAUCCACUCGCAGUGUGGUACAUUCUUCUGCAAGUUGGUAAUAUCUGCAUUAAGUUCGUCGAGUCUGACAUCACAAUAUCCUUAAAUGUCAUUUGUGAGUUCUGCGUCUUCAUGAAGAUGGUGCCGUGUACUAUACUCCUAGGGGGCUUGGUUAUGAUGGGGGCUUUUAGAGGCGCUGCUACUGUUUGGAUCCUAACUCUGUUCAAAUUUGCUGAGCAGGCAUUGCCAGAAGACUACCUCCCAGCAGAUAUCAGUCAAGUGCAGAUGGACGAUAUCUUUGAGCAUGUCGAUACCGACAGUGAUGGUCGCAUCAGCUACCAGGAAUUUCGACGAGCUCUCUCUUUACAAGAUGCUGUCAUGAAUCAUUUUCGUAUGGAGGGUCAGGUCCAGUGAAAUGCGCAUUCAUAAACACAUUCUUUUUGAAGGACUUCGUGAUAGUCUGAUACUAACGAACAAAAUGUACUCGCAGUAUUGACACAAUCACGAGAUUUUUGGCUUGUAAAGUUGAGCUGGAACCCUCUGAUUCUUGAGGAGUUGUGCUUCUAGAUGUCAUUUGAAGUGACGUCGAAUGUGAAAUGAAACUGCUGUAGAUUCGUCUUAGCCUGGUGUAAAUAUGGUGUGCAUGUGUACUCAAUUAGCUUGAAGGAAGGAACAAUCAAUUUGACUGAAUACAAGAACAAGAAAUUUUCUUUUCAGCCAGUUGGGCAAGGAAACUAGAUACAACUGUUGUAUGUGGAUGAUUCAUUCUGUAUCUUUUCACUGCCGAAGUUCAUCUGGAGCUUGAUAAGUGGGUAUUCGCCGCAAUCCAACCACAAAGGAGGCUAGUAACGAGCUGCAUACAGAAAUAUCAUUAGCAACAUCUGGAGCUUGUGUUGAGGUCAGUUUAAUAACUGUUAAGAAUUGAAAUUCAUUACAUGCUACCCAGGCGUGUCGUGUUUCAUUUGUUUUGUAUCUUUUCGAAAGCUACUUAAAACAGCUGGAUUUGACCAUUUAUUAAAAGAAAAAAGUUAAGAAAAAAAAGAAGCGAAGUAUUGCUCGGUACUGAUCUCGUUCCCCUCAACUCUCUCUGAUCUUCGUGUACCAAAUCUCACAUUUGUCUGUCACAGCUGAAGGCCUCCCGUCCGCUCAGCGUGACCUCGACGAAGAUUAGGACUUUCCAGAAACUAGGGCUUGGAUUGCACAUUUUAAGACUAUUAUUAUGUGCUUUGACAUUUUUGAUCCAAACACAUCCUAAAAUUCUUGCAUGGAUUAUUUUAAGAAGCAUGUUAAACAAGUUAAAAGUAAUCAGUAAAUAUAUUUCUAAUAGUAUAAGUGAUUUAUUAGGAAAAUAUGCAACUAAUUUGGACACUUUGAUCCAAAAAUAUGUAUUAUAAUAGAAAAAAUUAUAAUAGAGUAUAAAAGAUGAUAUAAUUAUUAAUUUAAUUACUGAAUACAAAAGGUUGUCAUUUUCUUAUGAUUUACCUGCAAAUGUUAUUUAUAUACAAAGUAUACAAUUCAAGACUAUCUUAUACCCUUCUUUUAAUUAUUAUUAUUACUAUUCUAUCCAAUAUUCUUAUUAUUACUAUUCUAUUCAAUUAUUACUAUUCUAUCCAAUAUUAUUAUUACUACUAUUCUAUUCAAUUAUUACUAUUCUAUUCAAUAUUGUUGUAGUUGAUUUUGAUUGUUGCUAAAUAUUAAUACUAUUGCUAUUAUUGAGAAUUAAAGUUGAUAAGAUUAUUACUUUAUCAUAACUUGGUAUUGUUGCUUUGUGGCAUUGAUUCUAAUACAAUACUUGUUGCUUGUUAUAUUAUUGCUACUUUAAGAUUUGUUGUUGUUGAACAAUCUUGUUAUUCGCUACUGUUGCAUAUAUUUUUUUAAUAAUGGCAUCAUCUUUGAUCGACCAUUGCAUUGAUUGAUUGAAUGAAAAGAACUAUGAUACAUGGAUGUUAGUCAUAAAGCAUUUGAUGCACAUACAUAAGCUCUACACACAUAUAGACUCAACAUUACAAUGUCUUUUGGAUAUGAACAAGAAAUCAAAAUAGAAGUUAAAAGCGGUGGAAGCAUAAGCAUUGAUUGUGCUCAAUCUCAAAUCUUUGUAAUUAGUAUACAAAUGUAAGUCAACAAAAGAAAUGCAAGAUGUUUUAGUUAGCAUCUACAAGCUAUUAGAGUUCAAUAUUGAGAUCUUCUUGAUGAAGAAACUCCACAAUCUUUGGUACAUUAAUGAAAAACCUAUUGAGAGUUUUCUUGGCAAAAUCUUUGACCUUAGAAAUUAAUACAUUGAAUCUGGUGGUAAAAUUGGCAAACAUAGUUGGACUUUUCUUGUAUUUACUACAUUAUCAAAGUUAUUGAAUUUGUUUGUUUAGUUGAUUGCAUUGAAAAACAAGAAGAGAUCACAGAAGAAAUUAUAUGGACCAUACUUUUUAAAGAAAAGAUAUAAAGAAAUAAUAAGAAUAGCUUUCUAUUUUUUGCUUUAGUAAUAUAUGUAUAUAGGAAACAACCUUUGAAGAAGAAAUAUCCAUAACAAAAGCAAAAAUUAAAGAUUAAUAAGUCCAAAAGUAGUUGUAGGACUUAUGGAUAGAAAGAACAUUAGUGAGGUGAUGUAGAAUAUUUUAGAAUAAACGGUAGUGAUAUAAGUAUUGAUAUUAUUGUUAUUUUCUUAAGCCAAGAAGCAUUAUAUGAAUCACAAGCAAUAAUUACAUCACUAUUUCAAUCAUGCCAUUAUAUUUGCAUUAGUAAUGCAAAAAAUAUGCACAUCUAAAAAAACAUAAGUAAGCUUCUCAAUUUUCAUGAAAAUGCAACUAUCCAACUUUAUGGCUACAACAGUGUAUCAACACAUCACAAAGUUUAAAUAAAAUGCACAUCAAAAUUUUAAAUCUAACAAAAAAAAAAAAAAUAAAAAAAAUCAUAUGAUUGUGAAGGAUAUAUAUUGGAUUUAUAGAGCACAUAAUAUAUUCUUGUCAACUAUAAUAUUCUACAAGAAAGAUUGUAAGUAUAGCUUGAAUGAAAAUGGAGUUGAUUGGAUCCUUUUCUUAGAUUACUUAUUCAUGCAAGGUACUCUCAACAAUAAAACUUAUCUUAUGCCUUGUAAAAUUAAAGAAGUUAUUGUUAGUGCUAAUUCAUCUAUCUUAGGUUGUAUAUUCAUUGAAUAAUAUUAAGCAUUAUCAUAUGCUUUGAUGCAUACAAUAUGAAAGGUGGAGCAGAUGAAUAGUAUUGAAGAAUUUGAAGAUUAAGGAUGAAAAGAAUAAAGUACUCACAUGUGAAUUGUGCAUUAUUGAUAAGGUCUAUAGGUAGUCUUUUUCAUACAAGUAGAAGCAUAUUGAUAGCAUUUUAGAUGUUAUAAUAUCUAAUCUUAGUUAUUUUGAUACAACUAAUUUUCAUAGUACUAAAUGGUUAGUUGUGUGGAUUAACAAAUAUUUAUAUUAUAGUAGUCUUCCAUUUCUUUAAAAUAAUGACCAUGUGUAUGUUGCUUAUAAGUCAUAGGGAAUAGAGGCACAAAGAAGAACUAAAAGAAAGGUGAAUAUAUUAUUAAAGAAUGCCAAGUUAGAUAGUUGGUAUUUAGAAUUUAUUGCCAAGUUUAUAACCUAGACUUGUAAUUGCCUUCUACUUGUAAGAUUUAGUGGUAAGAUACUAUAUAAAGUUUUUUAUGAUAAAAAAACCUUCAAUUAAAUAUGCUUAUUAUUUUGGUUAUUAUGUGUAGUAUUACAUAUUAAAAAAAUGUUAAAAUCUUGAUUUAAAUUUAAAGAAGGGUAUUUUUUUAAUAUUAAAAUAUACCAAAAAAAUAUAAGAUUUUCCUAUUUAAAGACAAGAAGAUGUUUUUUAAUCAAGAUUUUUUUUUUUUUUUUUUUUUUUUUUUUUUUUUUUUCUUAAUUUUUUAUGACAAAGUUAAAUUGUUCAAUGAGCCACCAGCUCUUCAAGAUUAUAAGAACAAGCUUGGUUUUCUUAGUCUUGAAUAUCCAAUUGGAGUAGAAACAUCCAAACAUCAAGCCUUGGAAUCAUAUAUAUAUGAUGGAUUUAAUAGAGAAAUAAUUGAUAAGACAGUAAGUUGUAUAUCAACAUAAGUAGUAGAGUUCUAUUAAAUAGAAGUAGAUGCAACCACUUAAGUUCUACUACCAAGACGUUAUUACAUAGAUGGAAUUGACUCAAUAAACAUUAGAAGUGGUAGAAGGACAUGUUGCAUGCUUUGGAAAAAUGAAAACUAUUUUGUUUAAAGAAAUUAUCAUAUUUUAAUUGAAAUAAUAUAUAUUAUUCAUAUUGACAAACAUAAAAAAUCAAAAACCAUUGAAUAAGCCAUAAAAAUAUUCGUUAACAAGAAUUAGAAUCAUGCCAUAGAAGAAGAACUUGAUUUUUUGAAUGAUCAUAAUACAAGGGGAUUUUUAUCUUUACUAAAUGGCAAAAAGAUUGUGAAUUUGAAAUAGAUUUUGUAAGAUGAAGCUUGUUAGCAAUGGUUUUAUUGAGAAUUUUAAAUCACACUUGGUUGUGAAGGAUUUUACUCAGAUAAAUGGUCUUGGUUACCAAAAGACUUGUAUACAAGUUUCUUAUCUUGCAACAAUCUACAUACAUGUUAUAAUUGCUACUAUCAUUGAUUAGAAUAUAUUGCAACUUAAUAUUGUUUCAACUUAUUUGAAUAAUGAACUUAAAGAAAAAAAAUAUCUAUAUAAAGAUUCCAAAAAAAUUAAAAGUUUUGCUUAAACACAAAGACAAUGUUUUAUGAUUAUAAAAGACCUUCUAAGGCUUGAAACAAUGCAGAUGCAAAUUAAACAAGAGUUUAGAUGCAUCCUUGGUAAAUUUUUGUUAGGAGCAUUCAAAGUCAUAUCUUUAUUUGUAUACAAUUUACAUAAAAAAAUAAUUCUUAUUUUGAUUAUCUAUAUUAGUGAUGUAUUAGUUGAUGACAAAAAAAUUGAGAUCCUUAUGAAUAAUAAGGAUGAAUUGCAAAAAUGCUACAAGAUAAUAAAACUUAGUGAAUCUAGUUAUUUCUUUUAUAUUGAUUUCUUUAAAAAUAAGAAUAAUGGUACUAUCAAUUUGAGCCAAACUAAGUAUAUUUAUUGGAAGUUGGAGGAAUUCAGAAUAAAUGAUACAAAAAUAGCUGCAAUAUCAAUGAUACAAGGUCAUUUCACUAAGCAUAAGAAUGAAAAAUCUUUGGAUGUAAAAAGAAUAAAGCUUUAUAAAAAAUCUUUAAAUUUGCUAUUGUAUCUUACAAAUACUACAAGGCACAACAUUACAUUUGUUUGUUAAUACUUUGCUCAAUAAAGAUUACCAAAUCACCAUUACUAUUGCCAAUAAUUUAGCAUACUAUGGUUGUACAAAGAAUUAGAAUAUAGAAUAUCAUUUCAUCACAUAAUGUAUAAAAAAAAUAAAAAUAAAAAUUGGAUUGGAGUAGUCUUACAAAACAAAUGGUGGUAGAUAACUUCACCAAACCUCACUAAAGAUAAGUUUCUAACUUUCAGAUAUAUGUUAAACCUUGUUUUAACAGAGAACUAAGUCCGACUUCCGAAAGAGAAGUGUUGAAUAGUACCACAGGAAUUGUACAACAAGCUACUACCUGUCCAACACAUAAUCAAGGUUAGAAGAAGUGCUGACCUUCAAUGUUGGAUGAAUGUUGUUUCAUAACACCCACACACAAUGUGCAGGAAUCAAAAUUACAAUUUUCAAAAACAGGAAGAAUGUAUGGUAGCACAAGUGAGAAGAUUUUUAUUGCUGGAUGGAAUGAAUCCAAAGACUUGAAGUCACAGGUGGGGGCUCACAAACCCCAAAUCCAACAUUUGCUUUAAACAAAUAAUAUGCAAGACAGUAGCAAUGACUACUCCUCUGAAUAAGUUAAAAACAAUUUGUUGUGUGCAAACCAUGUCUGGUGCAAAUGAAUGAGUGACGUCUACUCUGAUCCUGUCCACAAAAUCACCACUUUCUAUCGAUCUCCAUCGUGAUACCCUUGAACUUAAUCUGUUGGUUAGACUCAACCUGCACGAGAGUGACAACAACAUGCGAUACAUACGGCUUUCUUAUAUCCUGCAGCUUACUCGUCAGUCCCAAUGUCCAUUGCAUGCUGAAAUCACUGGGUCGAUGGUGAUCUGCUUGAGGUAUGUGGGAGAAUGUGCCGAAGAACUCAUGGCAGCCGGUGGAGUAUUCAGUGGCGCUUGGGAGGAAGAGAAAAGCGUGAAUCUGCGCAGGCUUGGUCCAAUCCAGUACCAGGUCGUUGAUUGUCAGGUAUUCAAAACUGUUUCCGGAGGGAUCAAUUCGGCGAGCACGAAACGUGAGGGGCUCACCGGAGAAUACCGUCCAGCCCUUUUUCAGCAAUUUGGCAUUCUUGAUCAUACGUCCUAGCCUUGGACUGUUGGGGGGUGAGCAGAUUCUCGGCCCAGAUGGUGGUGGUGGCGGUGAUUCAUCCCUAGAUUCAAAACUCAUGAUACUCGCUAUAGUGACCGGUGCAGCUGCCGGUGCUAGUGGUGGGUCUAGUGGUGGUUCAAUCGUCCAGAGGUUGUCACCCUGAUCGUAAUCGUAUCUGGCAAUAUAACGAAUUCGGACAGAACUCAGAGUCCGCUCAAACAUAAUGGAACACAGUUAGAGGGGAGAGUGAGUUUAUGUGUAACAUCACUUUGUCACCUUUACAAUGAGCAGGGAUUAGAGUUGUGAUACGCACCUCAAGUUGGCCAAGUUCAAGACCUGGCUAACCGAUAUGGAAAUCAGGGUCUUGUUCUCGUCGUAGAAAAUAAAUUUGGAAUUCAGGUAAUCAGGGUCGUUGUAAUCAGAGUGCAUACCACCUUGAGCUAUCCAGAAAGCCCACAGACGAUCCAAGUUGGCGUGAUGCGAGUAGAACAGUGGGUCUACAGCUGCCCGGUUGAGGUUCCCCAUGUCGUCCCUGACAGCGUAUGGCUUCAGCGUUAGUGGGUUCACGCGGGUGUUGGCCGAAGGAUCACCUGUGAAAAUAUGAACAUUUCCGUGAGGAGUGCGCUCAACGUUUCCUGGACUCCUGCCUCCUCGUGUAUUGUAUCUGACUGGAGCUCCAUGGAAGAGCCUCGCUGUUUCAGCGGCCAUCUGAAGUCUCAUGAUGUCAUUGUUAUAGGUAUCCAGCCCCAAGCUGUCUGGACAUGGCCCACCCGGAGUUUGAGAUAUAUACCCGAGGUCGACGACAUUGGGAGGACGAGCGCACUGGUCUCGAUUUGCAUUGUAUAGGGGGUUGUCGAUCGGAUCGUCGAAGAAGCUGGGCAUGACAUUCCCCUGUACUGCUCCCGGCGACUGGUUGUCCCAGUUCCAGAACAACAGUGAGAACGAAUCGUCCCCAAUCAGACUCGCAAGUAUCCGCUCGUGGAAGUAGAGGAAUGCUCGGUGCCACGCGAAGAAAAACCAACCGCCAUGAAUCUCCAGUGGCCAACUACUACCAUUAAAUUUGAAUGCUCCGCCACAGUAGGCACAGUGCAAAUUCGCUUGUGCAUACAAGGAGCGAGGGUCUGUGUUCGGAAGAGCUGCCAUCCUCUUAUACGCAAGUCGGUAUUUAGCAAUGUAGGCAUCGUCGGCAAGAUGAGCAGCACGGCGUAUUCUAAUCGGCAGGUUGGGUCGAAAAGUGAAAUCCACUGGAGUCCUAGAAUCCGGUAGGGGACAACAUCCCUGCGUACUUUUACAAAGUUUAAUCAAUGGUGCGGGGAAAGGAGCUCCUUCCACAAGAACACACGCUAACAGAACGGCUACUGCAACACCUGACACGUAAUUGAGCUUCAUAGCUGUGCCACCUCUUGUGUGUCUUUUCACACAACCAUCCCUAAUUUUGCCAAAGAGCAGCCAGUCGGAUCGACCUUGCCUCACAAAGCACGGCUUCUCAGCAAUCGAACUAUCUACAUCCUGUCAGUCAGCGCACCACGCAACCAGCCUUGAGUGAUGAGACAAUUUCACCGAGCUACAUAAUCUGAGCCUAUAGCUCCAACAACCCGGUGUGGGGAGGGGAAGCACAAGGAAGUGCGACACAGCAACCGUAGUCGUCACCGAGACUUGAUAGUUUCCAGCCCUGAACAUCCAAAUUCCAAAAGCAACUCGACAUGCAGCUCCAGAGCAGGUGGUUAAGCGGGACUAGAGGACGACGUGCAUGGACGCUGUCAUAUAGUCUUGACAGAUCCUGCACUGGUCUUCAGAUGUAUCGGUAAAAACAUUUAAAUACAAACUGUGUGGUGCAGUUGUUCUAAAUCAGAGCUCGAGACUUAGCGCGCAACACCGCCAACUUGGUUCCGGCUCGUGCAGUCCGAGCGUGUCAACGUGCAAAUUCCCCACAUGGCUCCUACAAAUUCAGCUGUAGUGCUGGCUCGUGCCAGUCUUUUGUUCCACAUAUAGCCUUUGGUUGUGUAUACAAUAGUUUCUGGGGUUCUAAGGCGGGGGAAAUGCAAAAUUGAAAUCAAACACACAUUCAGUGACUGCAGUAUGGAUCCUAAGUCUUCAAUUUUAGCUUAGCCUUGAUUUUCUAAAUGAGGUGGUGUUGCUUUUCCAUUCCCACGCGGUAAGGAUUUUGUGCCUAAUAAUAUCACCAAAUCGCCGAACAGCAUCGGAAUUUUGUACUAUUUUCAUUGUAAAAAAUACAAUGAAAAUAAUUUAAUAUCAUAAAAUAUUAAUAAUAAUUAAGAGAACUGUGUUCUAAAACAUGUACAAUAAAUAAAUAAAUAAAUAUAUAUAUAUAUAUAUAUAUAUACACACACAUAUAUAAUAACAAUUCAUAUAUAUGUAAUUUAAUCUUUGUAAAUAAAUGAAUACAUAUUGAUUUUUAUGUAUUAAAAAUAGUGGCUAUAACAAACAUCCAUUAUAGAGAUACACAGUACACAUCAAAGUAAAGUUAUGCAAUAUAUAAUUUCAAUCACAAGUAGCAAAUGUAAAUAUAUCUAAUAUUACAUAAAUUCGUCGUGAUUAUUUUGUCGAAUGUAGAGUUGACUAACAAAUAUGAAACACACAAUCUCCUGCCAGAUGCACUAAAUAAAAUAAAAAGAAAAAGAAAAAAGAGUUAAACUCAAGAAAACUGAUCUCAUUUUGCAUUUCGGAACAUUCACACAGGGAAACAGCAGAAAGUGGAGCUGCACCGAAGCUAACAUUGAAUCACAGAAUACUUCAAAAUGUACCAGAUAAUUGCAGUGUUCGGCGGACUAAUGUAGAAACAAAAAUGUUUCUAAUGUUGCCUCGGAAGACAGAUUGAGAAGAAAAACCAAUCUGCUACACGCUAAUCCUUGUCACACUGGGCUUCCGAAAUUUUCUGUAAACGUCCCACGAUCAAAUGACCCAUGUUCAACAGAUGGUCCGAUGCAAUCUGGUCCAGGUUUCCCUUAUCAACGUGUCUGGCAUUCUGAUUUCCUGAUAACUUGUGUACAGUGCCCCAUCACGAGCCACCUCCCGCUUUCCUUCACAUCGACCGGGUCUUUGUCGACGAAUCUCGAAGAAACUUUUAACCGCAAACCGGGUUUUCUAGAAGUGGGUAGUUCUCUGUCGGUAUUAGCUUAGUCGACAUCGGAGAAAGCCUUCGUUUUGAAUCCAGAUCGACCACAUUUGGAGGGAGAGCUUCCGGUGACGAGGAGAUUGGAGUCUUCGGCGUAGUAGACUGCAGGGACCGUAUGGAAUGUGUUACACCAGGUUCCAGAUUGAUCAGACCUCUAUUGGGCGUCAGCCGAGUUCCGGAUUGAUCAGACCGCUGCGAAUCCACUUGUGAAUGUUAAAUAGGGCAGGUGCAAUGCAACAGAUUGAAAUCCUCCCAUCCUGAAUCUCAAACCUAGUCCGCCAACAACCACCGAGAACAUACGCUUAGCUCCGCCGCCACUGCAAUGCUCCUUCGGUUUUAAUGCCGCACAUGCCUUUGUGGCACUUAGCAACAUAGAUGGCAUCGACAAGUUGUGUUAUCAACAUCAAAUAUAACCUCUUGAAACCAUAUCAUUCAACACAUUUUAUAAUAGAAAACGAACAUCCAGCUAUUGAUUCAGAAGCGUAGACUGGGGGGUUAUGCUAUCACCAUGAAUUUCUUACAAAUGUUUGCUUUGUUAUAGAAUCCGCAACAAUGUUACAACACUGUUACGGAUUCUACAACAUUGUUGAAUUUCUAUCUCUUUUGCUGCGUCGGUUCUGGUUUGUAGUACCUGGCUACUCCAGCCGCGCUUUCUGCCUCGUCAUCACCGAUGUGUGAAUAUAUAUUCUUUGUGUGUGUGCAUAUAUAUAUAUAUAUUCAUACAUGUGUGUGCGUAUACAUAUAAAGAAUGGCGGAAGUUAAGGGAUUUUUUUUUUAAUGUAAGGGGCACAAUUUGUUUUUUUGGUUUUUUUGGUUUUUUUUUAUGAAGAAGGAAAUAAAAUAAAAAUUUGUCAAUAUUUGGUUAUAGUUGAUAUCAAGUGGCACAUAUUUCCGAAUCCAACUUGUGCCACUUGACGAAUUCUUCAUAAUUGUUAUUUGAGUUGGAUGUGAUUGUGGAUGAGUGAAUAAUGCAUGCAGAUUAAAAGAGGCUGGCAAAGGACUUUAUGUAGGGGUAGUUUCCUCAAGGGAAAACGAAAGCAUUCACUCAUUCCUAAUGCCGAGGUGAGGUUUUGCAACAUCAAUGAAAAUCAAAUACUUGCUUUAUAUAUACAUAUAAUCCUAAAAAUACGUAUUUAAAAUGUCUUAAAUUUUUUUUAAGAAUCUAAUGUAGAAAGGUUUUAGCAUUUCAUUGAGAUGAGUUAUUAAUUUUUAAUAAAUCAGUAAUAUAUAUAUAUAUAUAUAUAUAUAUAUAUAUAUAUUAAUAUACGUGAUUGAUUAAAAAUCAUUAUUUUUUUUAUUUUUUUAAAAAUAUAAUAAAACAUCUUAGACAAAAUCUAUUUUGAUUUUAUAAACAAUCGUACUAUGAAAAGAAAAAAAAGGAAACAAAGAAAAAAUCAUAUGUGUAAAUACAUUAUGUUUUUAAUUUAAUAACUUAAAAAAUAUUAAAUAUUAAAUUUCAAACUUGUGUAUAUAUAUAUAUAUAUAUAUAUAUAUUAUAAAGAAUAAAAUUAAAAACCUUCUUAUUUUAGGUUCAAUAUUUUAUUUUUAAAAAUUAUAUCAUAAUUAUAUUUAGAAAUAAAUAUAAUAUCUAAAUUUUAUAUAUAUAUAUAUAUAUAUAUAUAGAUGAAAUUUUUGAAAGAAAACUCAAUUCUUAAGAUCUACUUAAAAUCCAAAUAUUAAGAUUAAAUCAAUUCAAGGCAGAUUAAGAAGUAGCCACAUAAACAAAGAUGGUUAGCUGCCAUAAUUAAAUAAGAAUAGUAUAAGUGUAUAAUAAGUCUAGUUUAAAGGAAUUUCUUUUUUUCUUUUUGAUUUCUACUUUUAUAUUGAAUAAAAUUUUCCAUCCAAAUUACAUGUGCAAACUAAAUUCUCAAUGUUGUCUAUUUUUGCUCUAGUCUUUUUGUUUUAAUGUAGCUUGUAAUCAUGGUUGGUGUAGAAUUUAUCAUAUAAAAGUUUCAUGCUUGAUUUAUUUAUUAUGAUAAAAGUCACCAAUUUUUUAUGUAUAAUUUCUAUAGAUAGAAAUUUAAAAAAGCUAUCUUUAUUUUUUUGGUACUUGACAUAAUUUUUAUUUUAUCAAUUCUUUUCAUAAUAUUUCAAACUUUAUCACAAUAUAUAUUCAACUUCUAUUCACUUAAAAAUAAUAUAUAAUAUUUUUUUAAAUAUUAAUAAAUAAUAUUCAAAAAUAUCAUUUAUAAAGUGCUAGAAAACCUUUAGUAUCUUUUACAAUCUUGAAUACAUAAUCAUGUAGUAAAAUAUACUUUAUAUAAUAAAAUAAUUAAAUGAGUGCAGAUUUUAUAAUAUAUAUAUAUAUAUAUAUAUAUAGACGUGGAUCUGGUUAAUGCAAUUAUAGAAGUGUCACCUCAAAGAACCAAGUCAAGAUGAAUUUCAUAUUAACAACAUAAAAACCUAAUACCAUUUAUAAUCCCAGGUAUACAUUUCUCCACAUUACUUAUUAAUUUUAUAAACUUGAUAUUUAUUUUAUUUUAUUAUUUAUAUAUUUUUAUUUAUAAAAUAAAUAAUGAUCUUUAAUUUUUUAUAUCAAAUGUUAUAAUAUUAUAAUAUCUAUAAUGUUCAAUUAAAAUUUUUUAUUUGUUAAAUUUAACUUGUUAUAUGGAUGCGUUAUCACCAAUAAUAAUAAUAAUAAUAAUAAUACAUUGUAGUUGCACUAUUAUAGUUUUUGAAUCUCUACAAAUGUACCAAAAUCUAUGUACAUAUUAUACUUUCUUUCUUUGAUUUAAAAAAUAUUUAAUACAACUACUAAUAGGCUUAUAUAAAUACAAUUUUUUUUUGGUUCCAAUGAAUUUUAAAAAUUUAAUAUAAAAUUUGUGACAUUAAUAAAAAAAAAGGUCUUAAGUAUUUAAUAUCUUUAAGUAAUAAAAUUUUAUGCAAAUUUAAAUAUUUUUAUUUUUUAAUAUAAAAAUAAAUUAAUAUUUAGAUAUUUUCUUUUAUAUCAUCACUUCUUUUUUUUCAUACUAUUUUUUAGAAAACAUUCUUGGUGCCUCUUUCAAGUUUCUUAAUUUACUUUAGAUUCUCUAUUUAUUAUAUUUACUUGAUUUUUUUUUUUUAAUUUUAUAGAUUUAUGAAAAUAAAAUUAUAAUUACUUAAUAUCUUUGUUUAAUAAUAUUAUUAUUAUUUAAUUUUAAUUUUUAUUUAAUAAAAUAACUUAAAGACUCUUACUACUUAAGAUGCCUUAACUUUUAAAUGUUUUUAUUGGUUGAAUUCACAAAGGUCUUUUUAAGUUGACUUUAAAAUUUUAAAAGUACAUGCAAAGGAUUUAAGUAGAAAAAAUAAGAUGGAGUGCACUUUUUUCUAUAUAGAAUAAAUAGUGUUAUCCUCUAAAAUUUUCUAUUGACUUAUCUUAAAAAUGUGAUUUCUAGAAAAAAUUAAGAAAUCAUGUCAAGAAUUACUCAAGACAACGAUUAGAAGAAUUAUAUUUGAAUGCCUUAUGAUUAUUUAAAUAAAUAUAAAAACGAACAUAUUUAGAAUUGUGAUAAAAAAAUGAUUUGAUCCGUUUUAUGGUCUUUACUCACUUUAUACUAUAUCCAAAGGACAAUACUUCCAAACAAGGUCUUUUCUUUACAAAGCAAGGAAUCUUGAUGAGACAUUCAAACCAUAGCCUUUUAAAGUGGGCUUUUAGGUAUAAAGUUUCCUUUAUAAAAAUAAAAAAAAGUUGUGGUUUGACAACAUAAUAAAUAAAUAGUUAAAAUGUGAAAAAAUAUUUAUGAUAUUUUUAUGAUAUAUAAACAAAAUAAAAAUAUUUAUGAUAUUUAGUGAAUAAUAGAUUUCCUUUUAGUUUCUUUUUAUUUAAAAUAUACUUGUGACUAAAUUCUACUUAUUCAUCUUUAUAUGACUAUGACUAUAUUGUCAUAUUUUGCAUCUUGCAUAACUAUGGCUAUCUUGUGUUUUUUAUAUCAUAUUGUUAAAUUCUAACAUAUGAGUCAAACUUAUACUUAUUUAUUAUAAUAAAGACUAUUGAAUAAUGUUCAUUGUCUUCAAUCUUUGCUCUCAUAUGUGCUUAAUACAUUAUAGAUUUUUGAGUCUCUUAAACCUUGUAUUUUUCACAUUUCUAUAUAUACAUAAAAAGUAUAAUGAUUAGAUUGCAAUAAAAUUAAAAAAUAAAAAUAUUAUGAAUUUUUUGUUUAAGAUAAUUUUAUAUUAUUUAAGCAUAAUAACUUAAUGAAUUGGUUAAUAUGCUAUAAAAUAUUUCACAAAAAAAAAAUAAUAUUUAUUAAUUUUACAAACAUCAAAAAAGUGUAAAGAUUACCAUCAAAUUUCAAUCACAUUAUUUUAUUUUGUAGACUUUAUAACUUGUAUAUAUGUAUUUAUAAAUAUGAUUUUGUUAAAAAAAUUGUAUUGGAAAAAAUAGAAUAUUUUUAUUCAUAAUAAAAUAUAAACUUUAUAAAUGAUUUAAUAAAAUCCCAACAAAUAAUAUAAAAAAAUUAGAUUAUUAAAAUUUCUGAUAAUUAUAAAACGUAAGCAGUUAGGUAUAUAUGUUUAUAUAUAAUUUCUACUAUAAUUUUUUUUUUUUUUAUUAUUCAUAUUAAACUUGUUAAAAAUAAUUUAGUAUUUCAAGUGUUAAUUAUUUCUUUUCCAAAUUCUAUUAAACUUUUCAAUUUAUUAAGUAUAGUAAUUUUAAUGUGUAUUUGAUGCAUAAAUCAUUAGUGUGAUAAGUAUAAACAUGCUUGUACCAAUCCUCAAUUCUAUUUAAAUUAAUCAGUAAGUCAAUGUGUUUUACCCUAUAAAUCUCAUAUUCAAUUUGUGGCUUAAAACUUUACUCAAGUCAGUGGAGUAAGAAGUUAUCAUUAAAUUUCAUAUUUUAAUUUAAAUAAGAGUGACCAAUUUUUUAGCUUUUAAUUUAAUCUGUCUCAUCACAUACAAAACUAAGUGUUUUUAAAGUUCAUAAAAAUAGCUUUCUAGUUUUUAGAAAUUAUGAGGUCAGGUUGUAAUUUAAUAAAACAAGCAUUCGUAAAUUCACAAAAUUCAAUCCUAUAAACUUGUGACUAUUACUAAUUUUACUUUGGAUUUUAUGAAAUUUUGAAUUAAGUGGUUUUUGAGAUUUAUUACAAGUUUAAAAAAGAAAUGAAAUGCAUUUUAAAGUUAUUCUCUUCUGAGAAUAUAAAAAUAAGGAAGUUAAACAAUGAGUAUACAGAUAGAUGUCAAAAGUUUACAUGCAAGAGAGCUAUACAUAUAUAUAUAUAUAUAUAUAUAUAUAUUGUUUGUUCUCAGUAGAAUCAAAUAAGAAUACAAAAAGAAUUUUACUUUUAUAGAUUCUACUUCUAGAUUUUUUGCAAUCCUUGCAAAAAGCUUUCUACCAACCAUUUGUGGAAGAUUCUUUGUUGCUAUAUUGUCAAUUUAUAAUUCCUUCAAUUGCUACUUGAUUUCUUUUUCUAAUUAUAUUUGCUUGGUUACAGUUGUUAAAGAAUGUUCAUUAAAUCUUUAUAUUGAUUUUUUUCUUUAAUUUUUAUUUAUAACUAAAGUACCUAAUUGUUUUUGGAAUAAAAUAUUUAUAUGUAUUUUGAUAAUUUUUUUUUCUUAUUACGAAGUGAAAUUAAAAAUAUAUUAAUUAGUCCUAAAAAGACUUUAAAGUUGUUUAAAAUAAUUAAAAAUAAAAAUAGUGUGUAUUGAUGAUUAAAUGAAAUUAUUAAGAAAAAAAAACUUUAAUAUUAUGAUUUCUUAUUUAUUCUAUUAGUUAAUUGUAUAAUAUAUGAUGAUUGUUUAUUUAUUUUUAUAUGUAAUCUUUUAAAUUUUUAUGCAUUUUUAUCAUUAUUUUUUUUGAUUUUAGUGUGGUAUUAAUAAACUCUAUUUGUUUGAUUUUUGGUUAUUUUGUUUGUAUUAUAACUUAUAAGUUUAUUGUAUACUAUUUUACAUCAACAAUUAACUUUAAUGUGUUGUAUCUAAAACUUAGGAAUACUCUCAAAAAUAAUAAGUAUAUAUAAAAAAUAUACAUUCAUACAUAUAUACGAAUUAUUUAUAUUUAUCAAUAUUUCUCUUAUUUAUUUAUUACAUAUUUAUAUAGAAUUGUGUAUUUAUGCCUACUUUAUUAUCUAUUUAAAAAGAUAAAAUACAAAAGAAUAAAAAUAAAUAGAUAUGUUCUAAAUAGUUUUAAGUAACUUCAAUAUUUAUGUGUAUUUUAAGAUUAAAAUAAUAUUAUUUAAAACAACAGAUUUAAUUAAUUCUUAAAAUCAAACUUAUUACUCUAUUUUUAAAAUAAAUAUAUUUUCAAAUAUUUAGUCUAAUAUUAUUUUAUUUUUAAAUACAUAUAUGUAAAUUUAAGAGACACUAAACAAGGUGAUAUUUUUAUUUGCUUAUUUAGUUUUUGUAACAAUUAGUGGUCAAUAUACAACAAAGACUAUGAUUUAUAUGGUAGAAGUAAACACCUAUCAAAAUGAGGAUUUGGAUUUUAAUACACAAUUGAUUAGGCUCACUAAUAACUUUCACAUGUGCAAUACAACAUCAAACUCUAGAAUCUCUACUUGGAUUCAUCAUGCUUAAUACCUUUGAGCUUAACUCAAAUUCAUCUUUGUGGAGCUACACACACUACAAUACUUACAACAAUAUAUAUAAGGGAAUGUUAAAUAGACCCAGGUUUUGUAUUAAGUCAAUCUACCCUUGAUGAAGAAUAUGGUAAUCAUGAUGAAUGUGGUUGGAUUUCAUUGGUUUCAAAUCUUGUAAUGGAGAAAUGAAUCUACAUGUCAUUUUUCUUUUCUUAGGAUGGGUGGAUCAAUUUAGUAAAAAUAUGGGUUUAUUUAACAUUCUCUUUCUCUCUAUAUAUAUAUAAAACACAGCAAACAAACGGUUUCACCCAAAUUAUUGAUUUAAAUAAAUAUCUAUUACAAACAUUUUUAUUAUGUCCAUGACGUGGCAUGAAGGGUAGUAUCUACCUCACCAUAAGACGAGGGGUGUGCAUGUGGGAAAAGGAACAUGGGCAUGUGGGCCAAAGGGAUUGCACAUGUGGAAAAAGGGGAAGGUGCAGGUGAGAAAAGGGAGUGAGUCCCAUGUUGCUCAGUGCCCCCUACUCGUCCUCCCCAUGAUUGAAAGAUGAUCACCAAGGUGGUGGUUGGAGGGGAACUUGGGGCAAUGGCCCCACCUUUGCAACACUAAAGAGGGCAAUCAUUUUCUGGAGUGGAGCUGGCGAUGGCGCAUUGAGUAGCUCAUCACCACCUCUGCCCCUGCAAUGUCAACAAAGCGUUACCCCCGGGGAUUUGUUCCAUUGUGGGUAAAGUGAGUAAGUAUGUAAGUAUGUGUGUGAAUGUGUAUGUGAAGGUAGCAGUAGUUUUGGAAGCUUGUGUUAAUGUUGCUGCUGAGGCCUGACUCCAUAAUCAUCAGCAUCAUCAUCAGAUCAGGGCUCAAGUCGAAGCUUUUAGACCUGCAACGGGUACCACUGAAUCUGCCCUUCAGGACGACGACGCAGCAGCCAAGGCGUGUGCGAAGGGAUCAAGGAACCGAUCAGACAAAAGUGCUCACUUACUUAUUCCCUUUUCCUUGACUGAUGGGUCUGAGUGGGUUCCCAUUCUGGUCUGCGCGGGGUUGCCACGGCCUUAGCGAUUGCAGUGUUGCGUCUGCCUCGAGGGACUGGCGACUAACUCUGCGUUCGUUGCAAAGGUCGGCGUGGGUUGUUGGUCUCUCGGUGCUCAUGCGCUUACCCACAAAAGUCGCCACAUAGAUGAUUUUUUCGCGUGAGUAGAUGAUUGUGCGCAGAUGUAUAACUAUAUAACUAUGUAUAUAUAUGCAUGUGUGGUAGCAGAGAAUGUUGUGGUAUGAGUUUAUCUACUUGAAUUUGUAAUCUGAGUAGAGAAGAAGAGAUGAUAUGUCAAAUAGAAAAAAGAUUCACAUUUGUGGUGUUUGCUUGCAUCAAUGCUAGAGAUACAUCUUGCCUCUGGUGCCAAGCUUGGAACCCAGAUGGAAUUCAGAUUAGGAGCCAACACUCCAAAAGAAAAAAAUGGCUUAAGUCACUGCAAUCCACUCGUCACCUAAUACCACAACUUCUGUGCCUCCCCACCGUCAACCGAAACAACUUCACGUAUUCCUCAAUGCGCCUGAUAGCAGAACGGUCACAAACCUUCUGGGUAGCCGACACUCAGGGGCCACUGCGAGAUUUGGAGUCUUCUACAUGAGGACUUUCUAUUGGGGAAAAAAAAAAAAAAAAAAAAAAACAACACAAAACACUCUCAAGCGGUAGACGAAGCUCAAGUGGCAUCGAAAACCAAGCAAGGCCAACAAGCGAGGCAUGGGAGCAAAACUGAAUGUUCGGGGAGGUACUGAUUACUGUUGUCUAGUCGGGGGUUCUGGAAGCCUCGACUCUUGCUAACCGAUCCACUAGCAUUUCAAACUUCUGAUUCCGCUCCAACAUGCUCAAGCGCACAAACUCUGCACCAGCACCAAAGUGCCGACCACUUCGUGUGAUAAUCCGCCUCUCCUUUAGAAAUGCUUGACAAUCUGCUGUUUUUUUGCACCUUAACCACGCAAAUGCUGUACACAUUUCAACCGCCAGGAGUUAUAGACCUUGAUAAAUGACCUUCAGAAUCGUUCAUGUGCAGGUAAGGUUAGUUUUGCUAGUCGAGCGACAAAGAGGCGAGUGCAUACCAGGAGUUUGAUCUAUGUCUUUCUGGAAGAAAGUACAGUAAGAAGGCUGAAAACCCGGGAUAGAAAACGCGGAGGACCCAUUCAGGGCCUCCCGCAGUCGUUUCCACCGAUAAUGCAUGACGGAAUUUCCAAAAUGGAACAGCUUGUUGUUGUCCGAAUGCUGAGCGACGGUUUGGGGACUGCCACUUUGUGGCUCGGACGAGGUGUAUCCUUCAAUUACGGCCUUAAUUACCUGCGUUGCACGCACUUGAGAAUCAUGAGAGACGCCUAUCGUGUUAAGUUCCAAGAACUUCGUCAUCUUCUUCGCCACUCUCUCGUCCUUCAAGAUAGCCCACCUGCAUACACAUAUCCACAACUAAGACAACCGAAGCAGGGGGUGCGUGGUUUCGAAUUCGCCUGCGAGAGACAUAAUAAGACAUGACAAUACCAUGAGAGCGAAGAAGGUGAUCCUCACCCAAUUCGAGUUCCUGCAUGCCCAGUACUCUUCGAGAGCGUGAAGAGCAUGAUAGCAUGGUCGGCUGCUCCUGUGAUGGGCGUGUAAUGCGGCCAGUAAUACGCCAGGUCGUGUACGACGUGCCCCGUCCCAUUCACAACGGCAUGCUGUAUCCUUCCAUCUGGAUUGUUCGGAGAACACACCAUCUCAAUGUAUGGUUCUUCGUGCUCUGCGCCGAGAUUGUACUCCACAGCAUCGCCGGCCCACUUGAAUAAGGCGGAACGCAGAUAGUCGGUCACUGCAGGGUAUGACUGCCAACUAGAACUUGUCACCUUCGCAAUCAUUAGAAGCAAGAGCUUAGACUCGGAACUGUGCUAAAUGCAUACAACGGGAUGACAGGUGGGGAGCUUACGGAGUAGAAGGGAGCCGCGGAGACAAUGUUCGUUGGCUUGGAUUGGUCCGACGAAGUAAGAGCGUAUAGAGUAGCUUGAAAGAGCUGGGUGGAACCUGUGCCAACCACAAUGUGACGGCCCUCAGUGACUGCGUUUCCCACCACUCGGUGCAACUCCCGGAUCUGGACCUCCAGCUCGUUCUCCAUGAACCAAACAUGCUUGCUUUGUGCGAAGUAACUCAUUCGUUGGUAACCAAGUAUGACGGUGAUAGUGUUAGCUGCGUUUCGGAACCAGAACUCCUCGAACAUGGUCGGAUCCCCGCUGCACAGACGAAUACUUCAGUUUCAUCUCCUAUUCAUUAAAAGAACCAUGCACGAAGAUUCUGUACAACUCAGUGAACGACUGGUUGGGCUGGUUUAGAUGGCUUACUGGUCCAGAUCGAUAACACAAUUGUCGAUCACCUGGGAGCAGUCCACGCCUCCGAAACACUCGUAGCACUUGCAAAUGCCAAGACUUCGCUCAGUGUCGAAGUCUGCCAUGUAGCCAUGGCCAGAGCAGGGAAGGGAAUUGGUUGCGGCAAUUUGUGAUGCCAAUUGGCUAAGCGCCGCAGAUGUGUCGACAUCGACAGUCGCGGGAUGAGGAGACUGACUGUAUUGAAAUAACCAUGUCGAGAGUAGACCAAUGAUCAAUGGGAUGGACUUAGAAACCCAGUUAGUGAAUUGGACAUUCCCAGACGGACUGCACUUGGUCGACAGAGAGGUGUUGGGCAGAGCAGCGGCAACCAAAUGUUUCUUCCUCUGAUGCCGCUCGUAUCUGCCUAUCCGCUCGGCUUCAAGAGCCAUUUCGGAGUCGAUAAGGCGACUCAGUCGGCAAUGCGUGGAGCCACUUUCGCCUCUCAAGAACUACACACUUUACCCGAGGCAUCGGCUAUUCGCACCGCUGAAACGUUUACUAGUGUAAUCUAUUGAUGGCUCCCAUUUCCAUUCCCAGCUUGAUCGCCUCGCUUCCAGCUUGGAGAAUUCCUCAAGCGUCCUUACUCUGUUCCAACCAACACAAGAACUCCAAAUUGGUCGACUCGACAGUAAUAGUUGGAGAAGUGCAGUGCCACAAAUGAUUUACUAAUACGCAAUUAGCGCAGUGCGCCACAGUACCAACUUAAAUAUCCACUAGAAGAUUCUGGUCCCCUCAGACGAAUCCUACGACGACAAUUUAGCUGGCCAACAACCUGACAGGCAAAGGGAGCACUGCAGCUCAUCUCCACUGAACCCAAGACACCAAGACAAUGGGCUGAAGAGGCCAUUCCUUUACAGCGUCGGCCUGUAUUUCCCAAAACCGACAGCUCGAUUCUUAGAGCCAGCAAACUGUAAGCAAAUUCCAACACCGCAAUCCACCUCAACCAUCUCCAACCCCUUGGUAGCUCAGUUGAGAUUACGUCAAUAUCAUGUGCUCGUCGCAAGAAAAGAUGAGCAACAACUCUCAAACACGGAGUCCCGCAAUCCAGGAGCCGAAACGGGACGCUAAUGUCCACCCUUUCGGAGGCUGUUCAUCAAAUUCCACGACCAAAGGGAAUAGACGCAAGCAACCAUUCCGCACCGCACUACAAUCAUCAAAAGAAACCCUCAGCGACGAAAAUCAUCAGCCCUCGCUAAACCGCGACCAGGAGAGCAACCAUCGACGCACAUUCGAUCUGCCACGGAUGCCAGAAGCUGAAAUUUCUACCUGGAGCUGGCAGCUCACACAUCAAUGAGUGCAUGUUCAUACGUACCAACAGUAGGCUGCGACAUGCCUUGCAAUUACUCUUCACCACAACUAAGUACUAGCAGAAGGGCGACAAGCAACCAUUAAAAAGAUAAAAUGACGGAACAGGAAAAAACUUAACAUGAAUCGUGUCUUCUUUAGUGCCACUCAUCAAGUCCACCACUUGCGCCCGACGCCCGUUGGACUGGGAAAGACCCAGCGUAAGUGCUCUCUGUGCCGACAUCCAACCAAACCAGCGCUAAUCAACUUCGGGAGAUGUGCCAGGCUAGGACUCCGGAGGUGGUGCUUGAGCCUAGCGCUACAGGGAGCGCAGCUUAAAUAGGAACGCAGCCAGCCGCCCUCUGCGCCCGCCACCAGAUUAGGGACUUUCUCCGCGUCGUCAUCGUCAACAAGAUGAUGAUGAAGAACAACCCAGAUUGGUUCGGUGUCCAUUGCUGUGUGAAGCGAGCCGGGCCCUAUUCUCCUGGGGUUGGCCCUCCGAGUCCUCAUCAUGCUAAUUCAAUCAAUUUCUUAUGCUCGUAAAUGUUCCAUUCAUUAGCCUGGCUGCUUUUAUUAGCCACCACCUGCCUGGUUUUAUGGCCCGAUAACGCUCACCAGCUCGCGUUUGCGUUAUCAGGCCAUAAAUUGCUCUCUUUACCCCGCUUGCCUCUGGAACACGUCCCACAAGUAGGUUGCUUUCCUCGACCCCUCGUCAUCGAAAAGGAGCAGCGCGCUACAUUCUCUACGAAAUCCCUCAUGGCGGCGCUUUAUCCUUCCACUACGCCUUUGGCUGACCUUCGAGCGAUUUCGGUUCGGUAUCAACGAUUGCCGCCAUCUCCACCAGAUCAAAUGUAAUCGGGACGGAUAUUGCUUCGUAAAUGCGUCCGCAACUCCUGAUGGAUCCGCGAGUUUAUGGUGUUGCACACUUUUCCAAGCGGCGGCAAACGCAGACCCCCGUGUGAUCAAGCAAGCUCCAAUGGGCCUCUGUGGCCCCACUUACUAAUUUCGUGCGAGAUGAAUGUGUGCAAGACUGGGGAUGCAUGUAGAUAUACUAAGGAGUACAAUUGGUAUGCCACUUGGCUACCCCUCAUUGACUACGGUCCUGCGUGUGUCCAAUUUCACAGAUGUGAAGCCCGCAGUCCAACAGGCACCAGAUUUGGCCACGCUGCUGAUGAUGCCGUCAAUGCGAUAACCAUCGAGGUUUGAGAGGAGCCCAGCUGUUGAUUCUGUAGGAUUAGUUGUCUGAGGUUGGCGUCGUGUAGCCGCUGCUCCGGCCAGUUGUUCAAGUGCCUUAGAGGCAAAAGGAAGGCGUGGUAUAGUGAGGGCACCGGAGGUUGAGAGUGAUUUAUAGGUGAAUCUUUGAGCGGCCAUCGUUGAUGAGGGAUUACAUUUUAUUGUGCGUUGGUAAAAGCGGCUGCAAUUGCUCGGAGAUUUGUGUCGGAUAUAUCUUCUUCAUAUACUGAUUAUGGGAAAUUAAUGAGUUCCUGUCCCUAUCUAGCUUCUUUCUGUUAUUGUCGUAAUACUGAGUUCUGUCCCUCGUCUUAUCCAUUGGAGUCUAUGGUUCAUCAAGGACUUGAGUUAAAUUGAUGCUGUUUUCUGUGAAAUUUUUAGGAUUUUGGGCUUGCCCACUGGAGUGAUGAGGUGAUUUGUCGUAUGUUAACGCAAUGUAGUAUUGGGUGUGCACACAUAGUGCAAAUGGAUAACCAAGUGGUGCCGUGUAUUUGAUUCAUAGUUUGAGUAGUUGUAACGAUUUCAUCGUAGUGUAGCAUCAACUUGACGAAAACGGAUUGUUUGCAAGUAGUGUUUAUUGUCAUUUGUAUCCCUCAACCAUUAUCUGGACUCUCAUUAACAACUUCAAACUGCUCAUGCGACUAGCAUUACAAGAACCUUGAAUGUUUAGGGCUACUGUUAUAUCUAGAUAAGAAGGCUGUAUUGUCCAAUUUGCAAAACUUAUCGAUAUAGCAUGUAAUCGCAUUUCUAAUUCAUUGAAUAGAGAGGUUAAUCAAGUUUUAACUAUUUCGUUAGGGUUUGUUUAACAAAGUUUUCCUGAUUCAAUCUAAUUAGUCGCGCGUUUUCGUACUCGUUUUGUAAGUUCAAUUAUCUAAUUAUUGUGAGUAUGAACAUUCGCUACUACCAAGGUUCCCAUGCCACUAAGAUAGUGCUGGCCUGACGUAAUGGAAGCUUGUGAACUUGCAGAAAAUUUGUAAUGACGGUAGAGCGAAGUCCAAGUUGAGGAGUUUGAUGAAUUAGUGGAGCCGAUUUUGGCAGCAAUAUAGUAUCCAAUCGAAGGAAACACAUCCGGAGGUUUUCUCAAGCAAAGACGUCAUGAUUAGAGCACUUUCGAAUAGUAAUGACGAUUCUUUCUGGGUUAGUGAUAGUUCACGUCCUGGGGCCUACUAUCACGAAGAGGAAAUGGCCCUGAUUACAGCAGACAAGAAAACUGCAAGUGACGAAAGUAAUUCGUCUUCGUCAGGUAUAAAUUCACAAACAGCAAUUGUAAAGUGGAGAAAAAGCAGGUCUUACAACUUCAAUGAGGUAGCUACGAACCUUCUAAACACUGCUGAGAGAUUAGUGCAAGAAGCCAAUGUGAGUGACAAUGGCUACAAGCGUAACUCGAUUUCUCGGAGCGUGGCUCGAAUUGUUCUCGACCAAAGUAAUGAGGUUGUGGACACAUCAGAGGAAUACAUCACUGGAGUUGUACGACAAGUUGCUCGGUAUGCGCAGCAUGCAGGUGACGAUGAUGAAACUAGUUACUCAGCUGCUAACCAGGUCACACAGCCAAAGGUAAGACUUCUGUGAACUCUGCAUUUGUAGUAUCAAUCAGCUUUUGAUGGUUUCUCAUAGUGGCAUACUACAACUGGUUAGAUGUGUACUUCUCGGUGUAUUUAUGUUGCUUCUCCUCGCAUGUAGAGGUCAUUUGCGGCAAACGAGUCGGCUAACGUUUUUUGGGGGUGAACAGGGCACCACAAGCUUGGGGACCAUGGUUUCUUUUUUUGUAAUCUGGUGUGUAUCACUUUGUGCUUCACACAUAGAUAGCAAAGACAUGCCUCCUCCUGUUCUCAAACUUGCUGCUGAAGAGGUGGCGUCUGUUCUCCAGUCAAACUAAUAGACUGUUGUUUCGAAUCUAUUCACUCAAGCCCAAGUAGGUGACUGCAGGUUUUGUAAAUCUGCUCGACAACUCUGCAGUUACAAAAGUGCAAGGCUUUUAGCCCACAAGUCUACAUGUAGAGCUCGUUGUUGACUAUCAGCUGUCCAUGUGUAUUUCUACGACAUAAAUUCAAGGUGAUUUUGUAGAAGUUGGACCCUUCUUGGAUCGAGGUUUUUGCUCUUCUCGCUUAUCUUAGCUUUGCUGAAUUGAAUUUCUUAUAACAGCCUAGAUUAGAAAUGUUGGCUUUUCCGUAUUAUGGUGUUCAAGAGCUACAAGCAGUUUGUUUCUCGAUGAAAGCUUAGAGGUGGGGUUGUGAAAUGCCUAUAGUGUUCACAUUUGCUUGUUUUGAAAAGCCCGGCCAUUGGUUUUGGGUCAUGACAAGUCUCUUGAAUCAGUUUCCACAGUCGGUGUGGGUCAAUGAUUAUCAUAUCUUUCUCCACUUGUUAUUCUACUAAUUCUUCGAUGUUCCAUAUUAUUAUUAAUUAGAUAUCGUGGCUUUUAUAUCGUGGCUUUUAUUUCCUUUCUUUCUUUUUUCCAUGUUCAAGCUUCUAUAUACAUUGAAUGCAACUUAAGUGUCCAACGUAUUCACUGUAUAAAGUUUGAAGAGGUUUCGAAUGGUGGUUUGCGAACAGGACUGAUCUUCCUGAUUCCUCUUAAAUAUCUCAUUCAUCACUAAAAUAUUGCAAGCCAAUUGAUUGGAUAUCUAUUUGCAUUGCAUGCAUGAUGUCUCCAAGUUAGUAUACAAUAGCACUUAAUAGUACAAAAUGGUUAACACAACCAUGAUCCUUCGAUCCUUCAACAUUGGAGGACAUUUGUAGUACAUUUGAAUGUACAAUGACUUCAACUAUACAAUGACUUCAACUAGUAAAGAAAGAGAUAACUCGGAUGUUUACAACAAUACUAUCAAAAAACAUUGUGAUUGUCUUGAGGGUGAGAAAUUUUUAAAGUUGAGUUAUUGCACAUAUUACUUUUAAUGAAUACUAAUGUGACACAAUGUGUUACAUUGUUCUUGAUGGUUUUACUUCUAUUGUUCAAUAAAUGGCAACAUUAUGUGAUAGUGCAUAUUAAUUUACUUAUUAAUGUAAUGACAAUUUUUAUUUUAUUUUAUUUUAUUUUAUUUUUAUUUUUUUACACAUGCUAAAUGUGCUUAAUUAGCAAAAAAAAUAUUCUUCUUCUAUCAUUAUGGAUUGUAUAGAUAAAACAAAUUGAUUCAAGAUGCCUAUAUAAUAUAUAAUUGGAAUGACCAAUUUUAAUCUUUUAUAGUUGCUAUUGUUUUUUUCCAAGAAAAACAAAAUCAUUCUUUUGUUGUAUGGAAAUAUUUGAUCUAUUUGUGUUAGAUCUUAUUGAGAUUUUGCAUUAAUAAAUACCAUUGAAAAUCUUUUUUCUACUUGUAAUAUCUUACUUUGCAUAUGGUACAUUCAAAAAAACGUCUUUACAAAUUGCAAGAAGUAUUUUGCCACUAAGUUGGAAGCAAGUUGGUCUUCAUUUCUUGCAAAUUGGACCAAUGUGAUAAUUUUUUUUUUUUGAGGUGCUUUACAAUAAAGAGUGAAAUAUCCUUCUACAACCACCCAUGUAACUAUUAAGUGUUAAAUUUAAUACUUAGAUAUCACAAAAAAUACAUUUUGUUAAAGCUUGGACAAAUAAUUACCUUCAUUUUGGAAUUGUAACUACAUCUUGAAUUAAAAGUUAACAUUCAACUCUCAAAUCAUAUUUAAAAGUUUCUACUAAAGAUUUAUGGGAGUUACAAAUUUGUCUCUUUUCCUUUUUUAAGAAUACAACAGGAAAGAUUAGUGCACAAGAAAGUUCAAAAAGAACUUGUAUAUGUUAUCAACAUACUAUUUUUUAUUUCACAAGUGUUGUGAAAUGAGUAUCUAUGUAUGCAUUCAACCUUAUCUUUAAGCAGUUUAAAUAUACAAAAGAACUAUUUGAUGUUAAUUCCUAUACAUACACAUUAACAAAGACUUUGAAAAUGCCAUAUAAGCAUGCAAUUCAAAGUAUGCUACAUAGUAGAAGCAUUUUAAUAGAAGAAGAUUUUUAUCUUCAAUAUUAUUUGGUGAAUAUUGAUGCUUUAAUUUAUCCAUUACUACCAUAAAAUGAAUUUUCAUCUUCCAAAGAUUUUCACCUUAUCUUUAAUAUUGUUGGUCAAACAUUUUCAAUUGCUCCUUCCAUCUUCUCUCUACCAACAAGAAAGAGUGCAUGAUCAACUAUUAGAGCUUGUAUUGACAAUUGUGAGGUUAGAAAAUCUAGUAGUUUGUUGUCUAAAGGGCCAACUACGUAGAGCACUUAAUUGAAUAAGAGAAUUUAGUGCUGAAUUAUCUAUACAUUGUACAUCCUCACAACUUGAAGUUUUUGAAGCGGCAUCACAUAUCUCGCUUUGCAAAAAUUGCAAAGAACUCAACUACAAUGUGUUCAUUUAUCUUAUUCAAAUUAUUUUGCUUUCACAAUUAUUUACAAGUACAUUACAUAUAUAAUAAAAUAUAUAAUGGCUAUAUAGAGAUGCUUAUUUAAUAAAGAGACUAGCUCAUAUACAUGUGGUGAAAAAUGAGGUUGUUAAGUGAUGUAAAAGAGAAUUCAUAAUCAUAAUUGUGCAAGAUGUUUUCUUUUGAUUCUUGAAUAAAUUUAUAAAUAUCUAUAUUUAUUUGAAAAUUUAGACUUAUUUGCAUACAUAGACUUUUAUAUAAACUUCAAAUAUACUAUAAUAUUACAAAAGGUUGAUAGAUACAUUCUUAUAUUAAGAAGAUGGAUUUGCAAAUAUUCAAAGAAAGAUGGCUUUGUGUAGAGAUUUUUUUUUGUAUGAUAGAAAAAUCUAACUUUAAUCUUCACUUGCAUUGUUUUAAUAUGAAAAAAAAAAUAAUUGCAACUAAAAAAAAAGUAUCAAUAUAGCCACCACAAUUGAAAUAUACUUUGAAACAUAAUCGCUCUCAAUUGUUUUGUUGGCCAUAAUCUUAUUGCAUUCAAUAGUUGAUGCCAAAAUAAAAAAAAUAUAUAUUUCAAAUUAUUGUAUCCAUUUUAUAUUACAAAUAUCUAUAUUUAUUCUAAUAAUUAUUUAAAUAAUAUGAGUAUAUAGAAAUAAAUAAAAAUAGAUAAAUUUGUUAAAAUCUUAUAGAAAAGCUUCUUAAAAGCUUUAUAGAUGUAACUUUGUUUUUCUAUGUAUGAGUGAUUGGUAAGUUAAAAAAUUUGUCAAUAAGAUGGCUAUAUAUCACACAUGUUGGUGACUUAUAGUACAAGUUGAAUAUGUGGUGCACAUAAAGGAAGCUUAUCUUACAAAUUAAACACAUAUCUUACAAAUUAGUUAUGUAUUAGAGGUCUUAUAGAAUAUCACUACAAAUCUCUUAGUAAGAUUGAAUAUAUAGGAUGAAAAGUGAGACAUUCCUCACUCUCGUCAAUUCUUUUCUUUCUUCUAGUCUAGUUUCAAGGGUCUUUAAUUUUCUUAUCUUUUGGCAAUAGUCAUUUUAGUUUCUUCUUGAAUGUACAUAUUUAUUUAUUUAUUAUUAUUUUUUUUGAAAAAUAUCUCAUUUGUUUAUUUUUAUUCAUUAAAUUCUUUUCCUUGACAUCUUAUUGAUGGAAAAUAAAUAUAUCUAUUAAAUACAAGUCUUACAUUGUCCAAUAGUACAAAUGAGUUAAUCUUUAAAUUCAAAUCCUCCUUGUAUAAAGCUAUAAUACAAUCAUGAACAAAAAAUUAUAUCAAAUGAAGAGGUUAACUUUUAAGGUGAAAAUAUAAAAGCAUCUUUUUGUCUAAAGAUGUGAUGUUACAAAGAAACACAUCUUAUAAACAAGAAUAGGUGAGUCAUAGAACUCAAAUAUUGUGCCUUAGUCUUUUUGGUUAUAAAAUGCAAGAAUUCAAAAAAAAACAUAAACUAUAUUAAAAAUAUCUUUAUUAUUAAAAGCUAAAAUUCAUACAUAUGAAAAUAUAUAAAAUCCUUCUAAAAUAAAUAUAAUCAAAAUAUUCAAAUAAUCAACAUAUAAUCAAUAUAUUCAAAUAAUCAACAUAUAAUCAACAUAUUAAAAAAAAAUAAAAAGGUUAUAUCCACAAACCUUCAUAUCUUGAUGUGAUAGAGAAUCUAUCACACGGUGAUGUAAGUACAUGUAAUUUAAAAAAAAUUCCUAUGAGAGAUUAUAAAGAUUGAUAAGAUACAUAGAAUAAAGUAUGCAAAUUUUUAUCUAUAAGUAUAACUUAAUUUUCAUGAUAUAGGAUUGUAAAAUAAAGUUAAUUUCAAAAUUAAAAACCAUUAAAAAGUGAAUAAUUUAACAUUUCCAAAAUUCAACCUUCUUCUUUACAAAAGUAUCAAUAUAAUAUAAUAUGUCUUACAAACAUAUCUAUUUAUCUCAAUAAUUAUCUAUAUGAUUAUAUAGAAGUAGCUAAAAAUAGAUCAAUCUCAUAAUAUAUUCUAAAAAAGCUUUUUAGAAGCUUUAUGGAUUUAAUUUUGACUUUACGCAUGUUUGUAGUUGAUUGGUAGGUUAGAAACUUUAUCAAUAAGUUAACCACCUAUCACAUAUAUUGGUAGCUUGUAGAACAAACUAAUUAUGCAGUACACAUAUAGAAAAUUUGCCUUAUAAGUUAAGAUAUAUCUCUUGCAAAGUCAAUAUGUAGCAGAGGUCUUAUAGAACAUCGCCAUGUAGCUCUUAGUUAGAUAAUAUAUAUAGAGGCAAGAAUAAAGCCUUUUUUUAUUCUUAUUAACAUCUUUUUAGUCUUUAGGCUUGUUUGAAGACUUUCUAGUCUUCUUGUCUUUACCAAUAAGCAUUUUAGUUCAAUAUAUUAUUAUUUUUGAGUGACUUUCUAAUCUUUUUAAGCAAAAGAAGACUAUAUCGAAUUUUCUUUUUUUGAGAUUUAUGUACUUAAAAAUUUAACAAGAUUACUAAUUUAUUGUUCUUGUCUUGUUUUAGAAGUGAAUGGGUUACCUCACUUCUAUUGUUGUAUUUUGAAGAUUAUAAACUAUCCAUCUUUAAACAAACUAUUUAAUUUUUUAAUACUAUUUAAAAAAAAAAAAAAACAUCACCCUUUUUUGUGGAAAUUUUUAUUUGACAUUAGAGAUUGCACAUUAUCUUCUUAUAAUUUGACUUAUAGAUUUAUUAAAUUAUUUGAAAUAGAAAGAAAAAUCAUGGAUGUUAUACUUAACAGAAGUGAAAACAUAUUUGCAACUGUUACAUAUCUUCAUGAGUUUAUCAACACUCUUAAGAUAGAAAUUUCAUGCAUCACCAAUGCCAACCAUAGAAGCACAAUUCCUACACCUAUGGAAGAAGUCUAUAAUCUAUGCCAAAAAGUUGUAUAGUUGAAAGAAAGAAGUAGAUCAGCCUCACAAUCAAAUUCACAAAAUUAUGCUCCUAUAAGUAUAAGGGAGAUAAGGAUUAGUAUAUAUAAGAAGUUUGAUGGAACAAGAUCAAAAUUUUGAAGAUUUUUGCAACAAAUUAAGUUCUAUUUAAGGUUGCACCCUUUCUAAUACCUCAAUAGAUUUACCCAAGUUGGAUUCAUAAGAUUUUUUUUUUAAAGUACUCUCUUUUGAUUUGCACCUUUGAUGAAAAAAGAUUCAUAAUUUCUUUAUUCUUAAAUUUCUAAAUUUAUUCUUUAAAGUAUUUUAGUCUGUAUUUUAAAAAAAUUAUUGAAAAAGUAUAGCAAAAAUCAAGCUUUUAUCUUUACAACAAGAAUUACAAUUGGCUAUCAUUUAUGCUAUUGAAUUCCAAAACCUUGUUUGCAAUGUGGAUUGGAAUGAUAAACCUUUUAUCAAUCAAUUUUGAUAUAGGUUGAAGGAUAAUACCAAAGAUUUGUUAUUAAGAAUGCCAAAAGAUAAUUUAUUAUAAUAAUUUAUUGCUUAGGCCAUUGCAUGUAAUAAUCAACUAUUUAAAAGGCAUCAAGAGUAAAGAUUUGGCUUAAGAGGAAUAAAUCAAGUAAUGAUACCGACUCCUAAGCUUUCAAAAAUCUAUUCAUUACAACUAAAAUUAUUACAAAUUAAUAUAAUAUAUUUGAAACCUCUCAUUGAAUAAAAAAAGACUUGAUAUUGUCAAGAAAAUUUAUGCCUAUAUUAUAAAGAAGCUAAGCACAUUUUUUAAUAUUUUUCAAAGAAGCAACAUCAUUAUAAAAUAAAGAGUAUAGUUGUCAAAAAAGACAAUGUGUUGGAAAAUAAAAUUUUCAAGUUUUAAUAGAAAUUAUAUAGCUAGAAUCAUGUGUAAUACCUAAUAAAUGUCUUACUUUUUCUUUAAAUCUUUCACCUUAUUUUACUAUAAAUGUGUGUUUAGGACCUAAAAAUCAUAAAGUCUCUACCUUAUUAGAUUUAAGAAUCUCAUCUUGUUUUAUAAAUAAAGACUUUAUCAAAAAAAUAAGAGAUAUUAUUAGUGAAAGAAACUAAACUUAUACAUGUAGAAGUUAUAAAUGGUUGUUUUUUGUCUUUUGAAAAAGUCAUCUAUGAUUUUAUUCCUUUAAAUAUAGAAAUUAAAGAUUAUAAUAGUAUAAGAAUAUUUAAUAUAAUAAGAUCUCUCUUUAAUCCAAUUAUUUUAGGAUUAUCAUGGUUAAAAAAGUAUAAUUUUUAGAUAGAUUGGAUUUCUUUUAACUUUAAUUUCUUUUGUAGUUUAAUCCAAAUUUUUGUUAAUCAAGUAAAAAUAUAUAAAUCUAGUAUAUCCAAAUCUUUAGUAAUAUGUGAAAGAGCUUUCAUACAUGUAGCAAAAGAAGGGUUAUCUUUUGUUAUAUAUAUCAUAUCUAUUUCUAAUGGUGAAAAGAUGUUAAGUAGUAUUCCUAGCCAAUACUAAGAUUUUUAAGAUAUUUUUGAAAAAAAAAAUACAAAUGUUCUUUUACAAAAUUGAUCUUAUGAUUAUUCAAUUAUUUAUAAGAAAGAACUCAACCACCAUUCAAACAUAUAUAUAAUUUAUUGCAGAAUGAGGUAGUUGUAUUAAAGGAGUAUAUUGAUGAAAAAUUGGCUAAGAACUUCAUAUGCUAUUUAAACUCUCUAAUAGGAGCUUCUAUCUUAUUUGUAAAGAAAAAUGAUGGAUCUCUAAAAAUGUAUAUAAAUUAUUAAGGACUUAAUAAAAUCACCAUCAAGAAUAUGUAUCUCCUACCUUUCAUUUUAAGACUUCUUGAAAAAUUCAAUUAAGCAAAGAUCUACAUAAAAAUAGAUAUAUAAGGAGUAUAUAAUUUACUCAACAUCAAAAAAAAAGAUAAAUAGAAGAAUAAUUUUGAACUAGGAUGGAAAUUUUGAAUAUAAUAAUAUGUCUUUUGGACUUACAAAAAUACCAAUCGCUUUCCAACAUCUUAUAAAUGACAUUUUUUAUGAAUUUCUUUGAAAUUUUAGUGUUUAUCAUUUAAAUAAUAUUCUAAUCUAUUCUAAAAAUAAAAAAGAAUAUGAACUUUAUAUUAUAAAAACUUAUAGAUGUAAUAUUAUAUGCUAAGAUAAAAAAGUGUAUAUUCUACUUUACUUAAGUUAAUUUCCUAGGAUAUAUCAUUUCUAACAAAGAGCUAAUGAUAAAUCCAAAGAAGAUCCAAACUAUCAUAGAUUGAAAGACAUCAAAAACAAUAAGAGAUAAUCACUACUUUUUGGAUUUUGUUAAUCAUUAUCAAAUCUUCAUUAAGAACUUUUCUCAAGUUGUAGCUUUAUUUAUAUGUUUGAUUUAUAAAAAUAAAUUUAAGUGGAAUAAAUAAGUCAAAGAAUUAUUUGAUGCUUUGAUAAAGGAGUUUAUUUUUGUACUAAUUUUCAUUUGUGUAGACUUUCCUAAGAUAUUUUUCAUAAAAAAAAAUGCAUCUAACUUUGCCUUAUUAUCACAAAUGGGAGCAGAUGACAAAUUCCAUCCAAUAGCUUUUCAUUUCAAGAAGUUUUGAAUAAUAAAAAUAAAACUAUAAAAUUCAUAAUAAAAAACUUUUUACAAUUGUGGAUUCUUUUCAAAAAUGACAUUAUUAUCUAGAAAGUACUUCCAGUCUAGCCACUAUGUAUAUAAAUCACAAGAACCUCAAGUACUUCAUGGCAAUAUUAUAAUAUGAUAACAUAAUUAUAUAGUGAAGAAUAAAAAUAUAGAUAUUAUUAUAAAAGAGUGUAAUAGAAAGAUAUUGUAGAAAAAUAAAGAAAAAUGAUAAAAAGGUAAUAAAAUUUGAGAGCAAACUUGAGAGAAGAUUUUUGAAUAUUGAUUUUAUAUCAUUUGGAUUAAUAUUGAGAUUUUGAAGGAUUUUCAAAUUUAAUAAUAUAUUUGGUGAAUUAAGAUUUUGUGUCAAGGACAAGAACAUGAUAAAAAUAAAUAAACAAGUGAGACUUCUUUCAAAGAAAGAUGACAAAAUAAAAAUAACUUGAUAUGUAUAUUAAAAAAGAAACUAGAAUGGCUAUUGCCAAAAGCGAAGAAAACUAGAGACCCUUGAAACUAGACUGGAAGCAAGAAAGGAAUUGACAAGAGUGAAGAAGGCUUCACUCUUGUCUCUAUAUAUACUAUUUAACUAGGAGCUAUGUGGCGACGUUCUAUAGGACCUCCAAUAUGUGUUGACUUUGUAAGAUACAUGCCUUGACUUACAAGGGAAGUUUUUCUACGUGUGGACCACAUAAUUAGCUUAUUCUUCAAGCUAACAACAUGUGUGGCACAUGGCCAACUUGUUGACCACGUUUCUAAUCCAAAAAGUCAAUAAAAGACACCUGUAAAGUCAAAACAGCAUCUAUGAAGCUUCUAGGAAGUUUUUAUAGCAAAUACUAUAGAAUUAACUUAUUUUUACCUAUUUUUACUUAAUUCUUCCUAUUUAUACAUGUAAUUAUUAGCUUACAUACGUAUGUCCGUGACAUUACCUCCCCCCCUUUUUUUAGGGAUGAGUCCCACAAGGAGUGGUCAUCAUAUGUUGAGAAAAUUUAUGAUGCAAGAAAUUAUAUUUGCUACAUAUUUUGAUCUUUGUUCUCUUCGAAGAUGAUUGAUAAGGCCUCUCAACCAUUGGUAGUGUCUCAUACUAGGGUGGGAAGACCACCCGGUUAUUUGAUUGUUGUUGAGGCCUUCAUAACUUCCUUCGAAUAAAAUAUUUGGAUCACUGUCAGGAGUUGUUUCUACAUCUAGUAAAAUCACCAAACAUUGGGAGUCCCUUUCAAAGUCAUGAUAUCAAAUGCAUUGUAUCUCGCCAUCUAUUUGACGAAGAACAUGUCGUUCUUAAAGAACUUCAUCUCGAUUGCAUCGUCUUGAAGGUUGUGACAAUCAUAAUGUCUUGUCUGAUAGGUCAAUAAACAAAGGCUCUUAAGUCAAAUCUACUAGUUAUUGAUUUUCCAUCUUCUUAGUGUCACAACUACAAAGAAGCUACAAACAAGGAUUGAAAGUAGAAUGUUAUCUUGCUUAGAUCUUGUUUCUUUUAUAAAGAAGAUUUUCAUCUUGAUUUUGAUGGAUGUCGUCGAUGAAAAGCCUCUAUUUCUUUUGUUACAUUUGCAAGAUUUUUUACUAGCUCCCAUGUAUGUUCACUAAUAUCAUAUCCGUGCCAAUGGACAAGAUAUUUUAAUUUAUUUCAGUGCCACCUUGAAUCUAAGACUUCUUCCACUUCAAAUUCUUCAUUAUCAUCCACCGCUAUAGGAAGAGAUGGAGCUUGUCUUCUUCUUGGUAUGUCCACUGUCUUGUAUGGUUCAAAAAGAGAUACAUGGAAUACUGGAUGGAUUUUCAUUGACUCCCGUAGGUAUAAACGAUAUGUAACCAGAUUGAUUUAUACAAAAAUAGAAAAUGGUCCAAGCCUUGGAUAGUCCAAGUUGUCACAAGGACGAAUGGUCUUGAUAUUGUGACAAAGUAACCAUACCUUAUCACCUACGUGGAAUAGUUUUUUUUCCUUUUAAUAGACAUCCACAUUGAUAUUUUGUUGUUCUUGAGCUUCUUUUAACUAUGCCUUCAUCGUUGCAUGUAGCUUUGACAAAUGAAUUGUCAAAUCUUUUGCAGCAAGAUUAUCAACUUUUGAAAAUUCAAAAGUAUCAAGUUGUGGAUGAUAACCAUAAUUGGCAAAGAAAGGUGUUUAUUUUGUAGAAAAAUGUAUCGUGUUAUUGUAAGCAAACUCUGCUAAUGGCAAAAGAGUUGUCCAAUCAUCUUGUUGGUAGUUGAUGGUACAUCUUAAAUACUGCUCCAAAACUUGAUUAACAUGCUCCGUUUAUCCAUCAGUUUGAGGAUGGAAUGCCAAAGAUAGUUUUAUAUCCACUUUUAGAAUCUUGAAAAGAGUCCGCCAAAAUCUUGAUACAAAUUGAAUUCUCCUAUCUCAUAUAAUAUCCUUGAAUAAUCUAUUAUAGCUAUAGAUAUUGUCAAGAAUUAGCUUAGCUAUUUCUUCACUUGUGAUAGAUUUUGUACAUGGUACAAAAUGUGCCAUCUUGAUAAAACGAUCUACUAUUACAAAUAUAGAGCCAUAAGAACGUGAGAUUAGAAGAUCUGUGAUGAAAUCCAUAGAAACAAAAAACCAUGGUUGUUUUGGAAUGGAUAAUGGCUAAAGAAGUCCAUAAGGUCGAUGAUGAGGAGUUUUUGAUCUUGAGCAAACAUCACAAGAUUGUACAAAAUCUUUGACUGCUUUCCACAUUUAGGGCUACCAAAAGUCCCUGGAUAUUAGUUCCAAAGGUUUAUUGUAUCCAACAUGUCGUACUACUGGAAAUUCAUGACAAGCUUAAAGAAUACGUAAUCGAACUUCAUCUUUUAGAAUAUAUAGGCAUCCUUCAAAAUAUAGUAGAUUCUUCUUGAAUUCAAACUUAGAAGUAUCAUGAGACUUUGAAGGAUUUUCCUUAAUAUCACGAAUAAGAGGAUCAAAAGACAUAUUUGACUGAAAUUGCUUAAUGAAAGUUGAAUCAACAGUUAGUGUUGAUUUCAUUGCUAGAAGAUGAAGAUGCUCUAACUUCAAGAGAAUUAUCUGUUGUUGAUUGAAAGCAUCAUUUCCUUUCUUUGGUGUAAGGUAAGAUCGUCUAGAGAGUGCAUCUGACAAACCUUGUUGUUUUUCUGGUCGAUAAGUAAUCUUGAAUUCAAAUCUUGACAAAGAUAUACUUCAACGGGCUUAGCGACGAUUCAAAACAUGUGCUGACAUAAAAUAUUCAAGGUUCUUGUAAUCAGUGUAUACUAUAGGUGGGCUAGAAGCACCUUCUAGAUAAUGGCACCAUUCUUAAAACAAAUCCACGAUUGUAAGAAGUUCUUUAUCAUGAAUCUUGUAGUUGAUCUCGACUACUGAAAAUUUUUUAGAAUGAAAAGCUAUUGAAUGAAGUUUAUCAUCUGUUUCCAUUUGUGACAAUACGGCAUCCAAAGCAAAGUCUGAUGCAUUUGUUUCCAUAAAAAAUGGCUUAAAAAAAUCAACGUGAUACAAGAUUAGUGUAGAAACAAAUGUUAUCUUCAAAGCUUCAAAUGCUACUUCUGCUUCUUGAUUCCAUUGAAGUUUGUCUUUACAAGUCAAAUGUGUAAGUGGAAUUUUAACUUGAGAGAAGUCUUUGAAGAAGAUCCAAUAGUAGUUGGCAAAUUCCAAAAAGCAUUGGAUGUCUCUUACUGUUUUUGGAAUCUUUCAAUCCACAAUACUUUGAACUUUCUUAGGAUCCAUCAUAAGUCCAUCAUUUGAAAUGAUAUAUCCUAAGAAGUUGACUUGAGUAGUGUGAAAUACACACUUUUCUAUCUUAGCAUAGAGUCUUGCAUCUCUUAGUUUUUGCAAUACAUGACGAACAUGAAGUUCAUGUUCUUCUUUGUUCUUAGAAUAGAUUAAGAUAUUGUCUAGGUAACAAAUAACAAAAUCAUCUAAAAACUCUCAAAAGACAUCAUUCAUUAGAUGUUCGAAUGUUGUUGGUGCAUUUGUAAGUCCAAAAGGUAUGGCGUUGUAUUCAAAAUGUCCAUACCUUGUUCAAAAUGCAGUCUUCUAUUCAUCUCCUUCUUUGAUGUGUACCAGAUUGUAUGCUCUUCGUAGAUCUAUUUUUGUAUAGAACUUAGCUUGAUUCAAUUGAUCAAGGAGUCCAGAUAUCAAAGGUAGCAGGUACCUAUUUUUGAUAGUGAUUUUGUUGAGUCCUUGAUAAUCGACACACAUCUGCAAUGAUCUGUCUUUUUUCUUCACAAAUAAAAUUGGAGCUCAUGCUGGAGAUUUGGAAUGGCAUUGUCGUAGUACGUAAAGUCUUACUUGAGAAUGCUCCAAGCACCUGAUUGUGGAAGGAAGAAUGGAAAUUGCAAUAACAAAAUCUUUAUUCUAAUAGAAUACUAACAAUGCUCUAAUUAGAUCAUAAUAAUGCUAAUCAAACUUAAUCAAAUUCAAAAAAAACCUCAAAGAAAUUUCAAACAAAUAAUAGGAAUUCUUAAAGAAAUAUUAGAAGGAUCACAAAUAUCACUCAAAUACAUCUCAAUUCAAUCUUAAUUUAAUUCUAGUUAAAAUCUUAUUGAACUUCAUUCAAAAUUUAGGCCAAAAUUAAUUGAAUCUUAAAUCCUAAUAAAAUCCUAAACCCUAAAUCAAACCUUAAAUAAACCUUAAACCAAAUCCAAACCAAAUCCUAAACCAAAUCCUAACCAAACCCUAAACCAAAUCCUAAUCCUAAAUCAAAUCCUAACCAAAUCCUAAAUCCUAAAUAAAAUCCUAACCAAACCCUAAAUCAAACCUUAAAUCCUAAACCAAAUCCUAACCAAAUCUUAAAUCCCAAAUCCUAAACCAAAUCCUAAAUCAAACCCUAAAUAAACCAUAAACCCUAAAUCAAAUCCUAAUCCAAAUCCUAAUCCAAAUCCUAAAUCUUAAACCAAACCUUAGUAAUUCCUAUAAUAGAUUUAAACCUCAAUAACUAAUGAAUAAACCGUUGAUCUUAAUUCAAAUUUUUCAAAUUUUUAAACAAAUAAGUUAAAAACAAGCACAAAAAAAUUGAAAAAGAUCGGAGUUACCAAAUUGGCGAUAACCUCAAAAAUGUGCUCGGGUAUUGGCCGGUCUCCUUGUCCAAUUUUGAUGCCAAUCUUCCAAAGCCAAUAUCUCUCUUUAGCAUUGUUCGAUUGAUCUUAAAAUUCUCAUACAUAUAGAAAAUCAAGUCAAAUAUUUUUUUACAUAAGUUUCAUUCCAAUCCAACUAGUAGAUUGUAAGAAAUCUUAAAAAUCCUCACUAGACCUAAAUUUCUAUUUUUUGAGACCUUGACCCACUUAAACCUCAAUAUUCCUCAAUUCAACCGUUAGAUCGAGCUCAAAUUCACAAUACAUAUUGAAUACAACUAUAGCCAUAAACUCACAAAAUUUCACCCAUAAAUCUAUUACAAAAUUCUUGAAAUCACCCAAAACGUAAAUCCUAUUUUAUUUCAUAAAAUCCAAGUCAUCCAAAACAUACCUUGACUUUGCAAAGCUCUUACAAAGUCAUAACAACUCCAAAUCACCCAAAAUCAAUGCUUAUAGAAACCUUAUCCAAUUUUCUAUCAAAUACUAUUGUCCGAUCUACCAAAGAAUCUCGGAGUCAUCGUCAAGAUUCAGUUUUGUGCCUCAGGGUCUGAUUUCGACCCUAGUUCAUAACUGGCCCUAUUCGGGUAUCAAUAUCUAGUUUUUUUAAGUAAUUUUUUCUAGAAUCUACUUUUAACUUCUUCCUAAAGAUGUCUAUAUCAUUUAUUUUUCCAAUCUAUCUUAUUUUGCCUUAUUUUUGGCCCUACAAAGUAAGUAGAAGCUAUUUUUUCUAAAAAUGCGGCAUUACUACUGAAAGUUUUACUACCUUCCUAUCUUUUAUGCAUAUUUUUUUACUUUUUCUUUUAACUUGGCUCUUCUUUAAUAAGAUCCAUAUUAUCAUCUUUCACCAUAUAAUCGUGUUACAAUAUGAUUGUGUAUGAAGUUCUUGGCCAAAUUCUCUUCAAUAUAUUCCUUAAGUUCAGCCAACUCAUUUUGAGAUAAAUUGUAGAUUGGUCCAAAUGGCGGUUGUCCUCCUUCUUGAAGGUCAAUUGAGCGAUCAUAGAAAUGAUGUUCUAGAAGAGUAUCUGCAUUCUUCUUUUCAAAUACAUCUUGAAAAUCUUGAUAUUGGCUUAGAAUGCCACUUGAAGUCUUUUCACCAGUAAAACAGGUGUGGCAUAAAUGACACAAGGUGAUCCUUCUUUUGCAGCAUGCAAGAAAGCUCUUAUACCUACAAAUAUAGGUUUAAUUAUACUAUACGUAUGACUUUCUACUUGAUUAACUAUGCUCUUAGUUAUACUUUCAAAAAAAUCAAGACUACGAGAAGUCCAAUCUAUUUUAGGAUUAUAUUUUUCUAGCCAUGAUAAACCUAAAAUGACUGGAUUAGAAGGAGAUAUAAUGAUAUUAAAUAUUACAAAGCUACUAUGACCAUUAGUUGCUAUUUAUAUAGGAAGGGUUUCAUGAGUAAUAUCUCUUAAAGACAACGGAUGACCAUCUAUGACUUCUAUAUGAACACAUUUAGUUUUCUUCACUAAAAAUAUGUUAUGUCUUUUAGCAAAUUCUUCAUUUAAGAAACAUGUUGAGACUCCUAAAUCUAGCAAGGCAGAAGCUUUGUGAUAUUUAGAUCCUAGAAUAACAUUUAUCAUAAAACAUGGAGAGGGUUCUGAGGAGAGGGUAGGACCUUCACUAGGCAUUAUACAAGAUUCCAGUUGCAUAGUCCUUAUUGUAGCUGGACAAAUUUGUUUUCCGACAUGCUAUGUUCUUUGAUUGCCGUACUCCUCAUCUUAUAGUUGCGUCACUUCUUUGGGCAAUGUUGAGUAGUGUGCUUAGAUUCUCCACAAUAUAAGCAUAAUCCUUCUUGAGGACGUCGAGUCUUUUUUUGCUCAGUAAGAGGUUUGAAACGUACUGCAUCAAUUUACAUAACUUCUACUUCCGAAUGUAUGUGUUGAAGAGAUGUUGGUAUUGCCAUUGAAUUAUAGUAACGUUGAGGUCCAUUUGUACAAUUCUCAAAUCAAAAUUCAAAAAGAUGAUUGUCGCACUUCACAGCAAAGUCAAUUACUUGACUCAAUGUUUGAGGAUUAGAUAAGUUGAGCAUUAAUUUUUUUACCUCAUAUUGUAAUCCGUAGAGAAAUUGGCUAAUAAGUGCAGCAUCAUUCUACUUAAUAUCAAUUGCAAGUUGUCAAAAUUGUGAAGCAUACAACGUUACUGAUCGAUUACCUUAUCGCAAAGUACGGAUCUUAUUGGUUGCAAUACGAAUUGUAUCAUGUUCUCCAUACAUGGAUUGAAACUCUAACAAAAAAAGCCUCUAAAUUAUCCCAUAUUGUAUCUCGUCAUUUAAGAAAAGAUAAAAACCAUGAUAAUGCUGAACCUGAAAGAAGCGUAUGAAUGAAUCUAACUUGCAAUUAUGCAGUUGAAUAGCUUUGGGAUUGAAGUUCAAUCACAAGUUGUACUUGAUUCAUAAAUCCUCUAAACUUUGAUCUUGUGCCAUCAAACUUCUUGGGUAGGGCAAUUCUUGGUUCUCUAACACUGGAAGGACAUUCCACCAUAGGAUAAGGGACAUGAUUUGGUGCAGAUUUUGUUGCAGCUCCAAUCAUUUCUAUAUCUUCACUUCAUGUCAAUCUUAUUGUUUCUUGUGGUGAUAAAUCAAGUUGAUGAAUUACAAGCAUUAACUCCCUCAAUUGCUCUUGCAUUUGUACCAUUGCACUCUUCAUUUGAGUAAGUUCUGCCAUGACAACACUUAGAAAAGAGAAGAUGUCUAAUAUCACUUAAGACAAAUAGAAGAAAAGACUUGAGAAAAAAGAAAAUACUAAAGACAAUAUCAGUUUAGAGGAGGGUAAUCUGCAACUUCUAAUAUGCUAAUGUCUUAUUAAGAGAAAGGAGUAAUCCACUCUUAAUCAAGAUUAGACAAAGCUCUGAUAUUGUAAGUACAUUCUUGUCAAUCUGUCAAGGACAAGAAUUUGAUAAAAACAAAUAAACAAGUGAUACUUCUCUCAAAGAAAGAUGACAAAUUAGAAAUAACUUGAUAUGUAUAUUAAAAAAGAAACUGCAAUGGCUAUUGCCAAAAGCCAAGAAAACUAAAGACCCUUGAAACUAGACUGGAAGCAAGAAAGGGGUUGACAAGAGUGAAGAAGGCUUCACUCUUGUCUCUAUAUAUACUAUCUAACUAGGGGCUAUGUGGCGAUGUGUCAAGGACAAGAACUCGAUGAAAGCUAAAGAGUAAGUGAGACUUUUCUCAAAAAGAAAUAGGAAAAAAUAGAAAUAUGUAUAUUAAGAAAGAAACUGGAAUGACUAUUGCCAAAAUACAAGAAAACUAGAGACCCUUGAAACUAGACUAGAAGCAAGAAAGGAGUUGACAAGAGUGAAGAGGGCUUCACUCUUGCCUCUAUAUAUACUAUCUAACUAGAAGCCACGUGGCGAUGUUCUAUAAGACCUCCAAUAUAUGUUGACUUUCUAGGCCACAUGCCUUUGCUUGCAAGGCAAGUUUUCUAUGGAUGGACCACGUAGUUAGCUUGUUCUUUAAGCUUCCAACAUGCGUGGCACAUGGCUAACUUAUUGACCAAGUUUCUAACCUAAAAGUCAACUAUAGACUCCUAUAAAGUCAAAGCAGUGUCUAUGAAGCUUUUAAGAAGCUUCUCUAGAAGAUAUUACACAAUUAACCUACUUUUACAUACUUUUAUCUAUUCAUAUAGGUAAUUAUAUGUAUGUCCGUGACAUUACCCCCCCUUCUAGGGACGAGUUCCACGAGGAGCGGUGAUUAUAUAUUGAGAAAAUCUAAUAUGCGGCGAAUUGUAUUUGCUACAUACUCUGAUCUUUCUUCUCUUCGAAGAUAGUUGAUGGGUCCUCUUAGCCAUCGAUAGUGUCCCAUUCCAGGGCGAGAAGACCACCCUGUUAUUUGAUCACUGUUGAGGCCUUCAUAACUUCCUUCAAAUAAUACAUUUGAAACACCAUCAAGAGUCGUUCCUAUCUCCAAUAAUAUCACCAAACAUCGAGAAUCUCUUCCAAGGUCGUGAUACCAAACGCGUUGUAUCUCACCAUCUAUUCGAGGAAGAACAUGUCGUUCUUGAGGGUCUUCAUUUCGGUUGCAUCGUCUUGAAGGUUGUGAUAAUCGCAAUGUCUCAUCCGGUAAGUCAGCAAACGAAGGUUCUUGAGUUGAAUCCGCUGGUUGUUGGCUCUCCAUCUAAUUAGCGUCACAAAAUGCAAAGAAG